GCUGACAAUGUCAGAGUUGGGAGUUUAACAGCAGUUGGUCGUUUGGCCAAGAAACGUGGGAAGUAAGGUUCGUACCGUGACAGUGUCAAGUACGGCAGGAGAAUAUCAAACUGCCUGCUGCCGUGUAGAAAAAGGGCGCUGCCAGCAGAUGGCAGCAGAAUGGAAAAAUAAGCACAUAGGGAUGAGAUAGCGGACAAAAGAACUGAGAUUUCUAGCAGCUUAGUUUCACUAGCUGUUUUUGACUAUGCAAGUAUUGCCAGGCACGCCAGUUCAAAGUUACUUCUUAAACAAGGAUUUUUUAAGUAGACAAAUAUUAACCAUGGCCCACCAGAGAUGAGAAAGCUUCUCCAUCUAGGGACAAUGAGGCCUGGUCAGGAAAGUAGAUGACCUGGUUCUGAUCCUGCCAAUGUCUGCUGUGUGCCUGGCUUAGAACGCAUUUCAUGGUCAGUGGAAAAAAAUGAGGAAGAGGAGGGUGUGGCUGCUGCUUAGAGAAGCUGGCUGUGCAUGCAGGGACUGGCUUUAGGGUUGUGAUCCUUCAACCCCACAGAAGGAAGACUUCUCCUAGUGAAAUCAGAAGAAAAGUAGUGCUGGAGCAGAGCACUUGAACUUGGAGAACUGGAGUUGUCAGUCACUGCUGAAGGUACAGGAAUAGUGGAUGUGUCUCAGCCUGGAUGUAUCCCAGAUUUGUGAAAUGCACAGCAGUAGAAUUUGAGUUUUCAAGUGAAAUAACUCUUCCUUGUCUGAACCGUCCUUCAAAAUGCGGGAUUAGAAGUUUCCUACCACAUCAUCUUCAGGACUCCCAGAAAAUUCUUCUGCAGCUUGUGGUAAGAUGGAAAAAUAAGAAAACAAGACAACUUAGUUAUAAAGUAGAAGUUUAUAGGAAAUGUGAAGGUAUAGUUCUAGGUCAGGGAAGAAGAUAGUGUUUGUGAAUUGGCCUCUAUGCUGAAAUGUUUUUCAGAGCAAUUCCAUGUAAGAAAUUUUGUAUGCCAUAUCUCUUCUCGUAAUCAAAACUGGAACAACAGUAAGCCCGCAUUCACUACCCGGAGUACGUAUUGCAAUAAAUAUUGUUUGCUAUUCAAAAAUGGAAAUACACUAAAAAGUAUAUUUCCAAACAAAGAAGUAUAUAACUUUCAGUGUGAGUUAGGACAGCAUGAAUCACUAAAUAAUACAGUAAAUUUUGACUUGCUUCAUUCCCAAGAAAUAGCUGAUUUUUUUGUAUUUCCAGCUUAUUUCUCCAUUGCUGUAUCAUAUAGAGAUGUCACCAGAAUACUUUGUCUGUGACUGUAGUAUUUCACAUACAGUGUAUUUUCCAAAGGAUAGCAGUACUUUCUUAUAGUUUUUUUUAUCCCGCUUCUCUUUAAUGUCGUACAUAUAACUAAAAUUCAUGGAAUGACUUAGGUUGGAGGGGACCUUAAAGAUCAUCUAGUUCCAUAUUGCCUGCUGUGGGCAGGGUUGGCAGCCGUUAGGUCAGGCUGCCCAGAGCUGCAUCCAGCCUGUCUUUGAAUGUAUCCAGAGAUGGGGUAUCCACAGCUUCUCUUGGCAGCCUGUGCUAGCACCAAAGUAAUAUUCUGCCAAAGACCUGGUUCUCUAAAUGUCUACUGUUCUUAAUAUUGCAGGCAUUUACAUUCACAGCAGUGUAAAAUGCUUCCUAUAAUAAAUAAUGGAAUGCUCAGUUUAUAACCCUAGGAAUUUGGCCAGGGCAUACAAACAACUUAUUUUUCAUUUGUUUGCAGUCAGACAAGUUUAUAAUUAAGACAACAGUGGGCAUAAACAUUCUCGCAGCCUUUGCAUCUCUUCUUUCUUGCUGACAUCAAAGGGCAUAUUUGUGGUAGAAAACACUGCAGUUGGUAAUAAGUAUUUGUGGGACAGUCAGUAGUGCCUGGAUCCCUUUUUUAAAAAAUAAAGCUCUGGUUUUCCCCUAUCCCCCUAUCAUUUGAAUAUCUGCAAUGAAGGCAAAACAUGCUUGGUUUUGUUUGGUGUUUUUUUUUUGUUAUCAUUCCAAACAAUGCAGAUAAAAUGAUAUCUGUACCCUGAUACCACGUGCUGGGCGCACCCCAUAUCACUAGAGAUACUAAGGAAAUUGUGCAAGGACUUACUAAGCAUCACUUCAGUGUCUGAUUUCUAGAAAUGUCUAGUAUAAAUUGCUUUUAUGAUUCCAUUGCACUGACCUGUAGCCUGUAUGGUCCAGCUAUGGAUUAUAUCAAGAAUGAAGCUAGAAGUGAACAGGAAUCCUGAUGUACUUUGUAUAGCAUAGGAGAUAUAUGAUCAGCCACAUAUGUGUGCAUGCAUAUGUGUAUAUAAAUAUAUACCGAUUUGGAUUUACUGUGUCUGAGGACAAAGCCAUAUAUAUGUGACAGACCUUGUAACUUAAUGAGUUGUGCAUGUUUUUGUGUCAGUCCUGACACAGAUGAGAUCCACAGAGAUAGCAGUCCUGGAGGGACCUUGCUGUGUAAGAAGAAUGGUUGCCAGCCAAUGCAGUUUCUCUAAGGGCCAUUUGAGUCUAUGAUUUGAUUCCCAACACUGCGUAGUUUAAAGCACUAUGUAUGUGUUGGCUUCGAAGAUCGUGCAUCUCUGCAAAAACUAGGGACAUCUUUGGAGUGUGGAUCUCUACUGGAAAGGCACUGGGGGAGCAGAUUUCAAGGCUUGAAAAUAUUUGGAUAGAGUAGUAACUUCCACUGUUGGAAUGUUACCAGUUUGAUAGUUUCCAUCUUUGAUUUCUGUCUUGAAUUACAUGCUAGUGAUGUUAAAACAGCUGAGAUUUGUGUCCCCCUAUAUUUCACCCUGAAUUUAAAAUAUAAAUAAUUCACCUUAAUAAUCUGAUUAUUAAGAAACAAGGAGGAAAACCAGACCAGUUAAGAGUUGCCUUGUUGUUAUUAAGAAAAUAGGUAUUUAUGCUAUCUGUUAUGUAUGUAAGUCUAGUAAUAGAUCUAUCUCCUGAGAACUGUGCCUCAGAAUGAACUGCAAGAUCAGAAACUAAAUUGCAGUCUCCAGCAUGGUGUGUUUAUAACAGUGAUCUAAUCCAAGGGCUCUAAUGGCAUGGCGUCUUGUUAAAGUCUUUGCAAGUUAAUGUUCAUUGCCUGUGAAAGAAAUGCUGCUAACACUGAGGCAAAGUAAUGCCCAAUGGUAUUGCCACAAAUAAUUAAAAUAAAUUUACAGACAAACUGUCUGCGAUGGUGAUAACAAAUGCUAACCCAUUGAGCAGCAAAGUAGUACUUUCUGAUUUUCAGUGGUUAUUUUGUAUCACAGCCACCUUGGUGGUAAUCUAGAUUCAUUCUGAAAACUAACUGCUGUACCUUCUGUUGACAGUCUGACAUUCAACACUCUUGUUAUUUUCUCAUUGUUUUGGUUUUCGAUUUUUUUUGGAAUGCAACUCAGAAAUCUUUCUAUACCCAAUGAACUUCCUUCAAGUACACUUACUCUGGAUACUCUGAGGGAGGAGAAAUUGUUCUCCAUGCUUCAGGUUUCCUUGAUAGGUGAGGUUGACUGACAGCAGCACUGCUCAUGCUGCGUUGCUCCACGUAAAAAUAGUGGUGUCAGUUGGUCUGGUCUUGUCUUACCUGUUGCAAAGUGAGGAAUGAGACGUUUUGAGAUGAGAUGCAAAUGCAAAUUCAAAUUAAGUUGACUUUUUAUUAAGUUGACUUAUUUCUCAAUUUCUGGCCAAGAUGUACUUAGAUGUUCAAACCAGCAGAGGGUAAAGGCUGCUGCCUGAAAUCAAUACAGCAGUGGUCUGCAGAAUGUAGCUAUUUUUCCUGUAUGUUAUGCCAAAAGAAAGACCUGUAACAAAAAGUGGCUGAGCUAUAGCUAACUACAAUAAUAAUAUAAUAAUAAUAAUAAAUUUGAAGAUUUGAGAGACAAAAGGAGCUUGCAAGGAGUAGAGUAAGAAGGUAAUGAAAUUCUCUAGAUAACUUGGAGAAAAGUAAAAAGGCUGCAAAGUAAAAGUCCGAUUAAAAUACUUUGAAGUAUUUUGGUAGGUGUCAUAUUCUUGCUCUUAUUUUCUAUAAAUCUUAUAAUUAAUCUUUCUAUAAAUUUUACAGAUGAUCAAACAGGAUACCAUGUAUUUUCAGUGUCUCGGUAACUUCAGUACUUCCAAUAAUUUGUUUCUAUUAGUACUUAAUGAAAGUGAAUUAUUAAACAAUGAUUAGCAUAUAUGAAUUCUCAUCACUGGAAGCUACAUAGCUACCUAAAGAGGAACCUGAGACAGAUAAAAAUCAAAUGUGCAUAGUUGCUAUAUUUAAAACACUAGAUGUAAUUUCUAUGUAGGAAGCGAGGUGCUUUUUCCCUCUUACCUCCUGAAUCUGUUCUAGAUGAUUGACUAGGAACUAUAGCUUUGCCCCCGUUUACAAAUUGGUGAGUAGCACUGACACAUGCUUCAGACAAUCUGGCUCAUAAAAACAGCCCAGAAGAGUCUUCAUUGUUUUUCUUUAGUUUUGACCUUUAAUAAGGUCAAAGGUGAGCUCUCCUCAGGUGGCCUGAGGAGAGGGGACAGUGUGGGUCUGCCUUUAAGAAACCAACUUUAGACCUCUAACUGUUGAAGUCAUUACCAGUCGUGUCUGUUGUUUUGAGGACUUUGUUCUGUACAGCUUGAUGUGACUUACAGAGGAUUGUAGCAGUUCUUGAUAUUGAUAGGAGGCUAAGAGAAGAUGGUAUCUUGAAGGUAUCGGAGCCCUUUUGCAGAACAUAGUAGGUUUUCUUUGAUUAGAUCUAGAAAUGCUUCAUGUGUGUAUUUUUAAUGAAUUCACUUUUAGUGGGUGAGAAUUGCUUCUGUUAUGUCAAGACUCUAGAAUACACAACAUCAACGAAAAGUAGGUUUAAGGGCAUGGUAUUUCUAAUGUAAAUGUGAAACUGCCAUGAUUAUAUGUGCAAAGGCAGCUCUGAGUUCAUAAAUUCAUGCGGCCUCUACUGCUCUGACUUCAAAUGCAGAUUAUAGGAUAAUAGUGCAGAGAAGGCUGUGUCUUUUCCCGUUUCUAGGUAUGGCUUAACAGCUAGAAAUAAAAUUCAUCAGUGCCAUGUAUGGAAGAGCUCCACAAACUACAUGUAAGUCUGCUAUGAUGGUUGACAUAAUCAGAAGGUACAGCUAUAAAACUGGUUUUGUACAGCCUGGGGUCAGGGAAUUUCCUGUCUCUUCUGCCUUUUUUUCUUUUUUUUUUUUUAAUUUCACUUUUCUUGAGGUGAACGUUAUUGGAUGACUAAACUGUGUCCACAAAAUUCACAUUCAGAAAACCACCCCAAAUAAACAAUUUUAUGUAUAAAUAAAAGCAUGAAGGAUUAAGCAGUUCUACGUUUGUUAAAUCUAAUUGCAACAAUAGUGUGAUGUAUUAUUCUGAAGCUCUAGAAUGAGGUACUGGAACUGAGAUAAGCUGCUUUCAGUAUUCACUGGAUUUAAAAUUCUUGCUGUUUGCAUCCUGCCAUUAAAUGGUUGGCAACCCAACGGUUGUGACAAAUGUGUAUGUUGGCAAGGAAUAAAAAGUGGUGGCACCUCUGAAGUUUUACAGGAGGUGUGCUGCCUAGGGAUGGUAGACGGUUGGAGCUGUUACUAAUGCCAUUCUGUUAUCUGUGUUGCAGCUAAUUUCUGAAACAAAGAAAUACGGGUCAUGCAUUCUACCUGGUAGUAAGAACUGCUGCAUUUGCUUUUCUUUGAGUGUUUUCUGACACUGGAGUUUUUGUGUACUCACUUCUUUUGUUGUUUUGAUAAUGAAAUAAGUCUGGCUACGAGCUCUAUCAGCCUUUUAACUGCAGAAGGGACUGCUUGAAAAAGCGUGACCCUUCUAAAAUUUUUUCCCUCAAGAGGAAAUGUCUGAUUUUUUAGUUUGUCUUUGAUCCCAUCUCAUCAGUGUAAUUUUAUUCCUUCAGACAAUUGAGCCUGCAGUUCAUUAUAGCACAAAACCGGAACCCUUCUAUUAUCGUAUUUUUAGCAACAAUUAUUUUGAGCCUUCAAAUUGCAUUUGCAAAGGAAAGGCCUGCAUCAAUCUCACAUCUUAGCCUUUAAAACUGACUGUCACUUACACUUCCAGGAGAGGCAGUGGAGGACUGAAUCCAGAGCUGCAGUUCUGAGAACAGACCAAUUGCAUGUGAGGUGUUUUUUGGCACCCUGGCUCGGUGAAAGUGGCUAAGUGAAAUUAAGCAUGUAGUAACCUCUCAAAACAGUUUCCACUCUUGCAUCUUUGUUUGCAGCAUUUUCAUUUACUCUCUAAGGAACAUCAAACGGUGUUUUUGCUUCUUGGAAAUGUAGCAUUGUUGUAGACCUGAGAAUGCUGCAUUUGUUGUCCUACAUCCCUCCUUGUGGGGGCUAUUAUGCGUGACACAUAUGGAAGUGCUUAGUGUUAGGAGAUACUAAUGGCCACUUUCAGGUGUGAAAUCAGAGUCCAGGAGUGCCAUGAGGCAGUGCCCCACAGGCACACCCUUGGCAUUGGCUCAGGAGAGCUGCUUGGCAGGAGGAGGAAUUGAGGCGUUGGGCACCUGUGGGGCACCUCAGCACGGCAGGAGGGACAGAUUUCAGCAUCUUCCCUGAGCAGAACUUUUGACUAUUUUUCAGAGCUUACAGACUUGAUUAAAACAUCGUCCUUCUGUUUAUGGAGCUGAGAAGCUCUUAGAGGCAUGAAUUAAUGGGGAGAUGGGUUGCCUGCUGCAGAAUUGAGAAGUUGUGCUGCUGCAGAAGAGAAAAUUGUUCUGCUAGGUGAUUUGUUAGGUGCAUGCAAUGCUUCCAGAAAUUGACAAGCAAAGGUGUUUACCUUUAAUUGGGACUGACUGUCACUGUCACUUUUUUUUUUUUAGGAAACUCUCCAUUAGAGAAUAUUGUAGUUUUCUUUAACAUGGUGACUGCAAAUAUAGGAAAAGAGGUAUAAUACUUUACUUAUAUCUCUUUACUUAUAUCACAGGAGAGGUGAGGGAGACUUCAGAAGAUUUGGAGGUAUUUUCCACACUUGUCAGAGCAACCGCCUGUCACUGUCUGUGGCAACCCAACUGCAACUUGGAAAGGGGAGCAUCAUUUGCCAGUUAGAAAACGUAGAUUUUUCUAUUCUCAUUGUGCCUCGUUGAUAUAUCUGCGUACUAUAUGUACUAACAUGUAUUUGAGUUCUUCAGAGAUAGGCUUCAAAAACAUGAAAUCUCUAUGUGUUAUAUACCUAGCAUUCUGUAUGUGGAAAGAUGGUUAACGUCAGACAGACUGAGAGGGACUCACAGAGAGAGAAAAAUCUGAUUAUCAGCACCUAGAGAUGAGCACAUUAAACCCCCCCGCAAGGAACUGGACUGCUGGAAAUACUAGACUUGCCAGCCACGAAGAUUUCAUGUGUCUAUGAAGAAUUAUGGUCGCAUAUGAUCCUGGCAAUGGGAAUAAAAGUGGCAAAAUGAAGAUACAGCUGUUUUACAUUUUCACAGGACGAAAUGAAAGUGAAAUAAAAUUGCCAGGAGCAAAUAUGCAAACAGCUGAGACAGCUGAGAAAAAUAUUUGAGGAAAAUAUACAGCCAAAGUAGCAGAGGGAUACUUUUCUCUAAAUCCCAGAAGCAAAAAGCAGAGAAGAGGAUAGAUACUUGCAUCAUGGAGCUGAGAAUUCUGGCAUGCCCAUGUAGCUUUAGAGACAAAAGAUUUCCUAAUUAGAGACAGGAUCGUUUGUGGGACAUGUGAUUCCAGUUUAUAGGAGGAAUUGCUGAGAAAAAGACAUCUAACUCUAGAGGAAUGAAGCAAAGAACAUGAAGAGCAGCUUGAAAUGUCCAGGGAAGGGAGUGAAAUAAUGAUAGCCACUUAUGCAAUACACAGGCUGUGGUCUGAGUCCACAGGAAUCCAGGAAACCUGACAGAGACGACAGGGCAAGGGAUGCUGCUGUGAUAGUACACUGGUACUGAGAAUGUAUUGGAAGGAGCAUGCAAAUCAUCACUACUCAAGGUUCAGUGCUGCGUGCAGCCUUUCUUCUGAAAAAGCAGGUAUACGUACAGCUACAGAGAGAUUGCCAAGGAUACAGGAAAAAAUGUGCAGCAAGACUUGAGUAAGUUCAACAUCUCGUAGCAUGUGCCCACUGCAGAAAGGGCAGGCCGACAGGUAUUUUUUUCAGCUACUGGUUGCAACAACUGCAUUUGCUCUAUCAGCAGCAUCUCAGUGGGUGGUGGGAGCAUGGAGACAGCAGCACUGCCACUGCAGUGUGGUGAGGCUGCAGUGAAAUGAGGGCAGUGAGCGAUGGGGUUGGAAAGAAUAUGUUCAAGAGUGUAACUCAAUAGGGAACAGCAGGACUGCAGUAUGAGGACAGUUGUUACCUGGUGGGCUUCCAGCCCUGGUCAGAUAUGAGGAUGUCAGAGCAAAGCCAGCAGGCAUUUCAGUGGGUCUUUGGCAUGGUGCGAGCUAGUUCUGUUUUAGCAUAACAGGAUGCAGGUGGCGGUCUUAGAGCUUGGAGGGUAUGAAACCAAACUGGAGUAGGUAGGCUGGUGGCAAAGGCCAGUCUGUAGGUGUCUUUGGGAUGGUAGCCCCUGGCCUGGCUGAUCACCAAGUGCUUGCCUGAAGGGCAGAGCAGCAGCUGUCAGGAGAGAAGUUGUGAUGACCUGCCUGCAAGCUCCCAGAGGAGGACAAGUAGGAAGAUGAUGCUUGGAAGAGGCUGAGGAAGUUAAUCUGUUUGAGCAUGACCUGAAUGUUACCCCUAUUUGUUGUAUUUCUGAGCACUUUUCUCUAAAGAAAGGCCAAUUAUAUCUUUGAAGAAUAGAGGCCUCUCAUGUUGUUACUCAUCAUGUGGUACACGAAACGCUAACAGCAACCAGAAAUUGUGAAUUAACCUUGUCCUUUCAUCGCAUAUGGUCAUCUCAUCCCUUGACUGGUGAGUGCUCAAAGCUGCCUGAAAAUAGUUGGGCCCCAGACAACUAAACUUUCAUACCUCAUUACAAAAGGAGCACGGAAGAUGAGAAGGAAAAAUGAUUGUCUCAAGGGACGCAGCACAGUGGUUUGGGUAGUUCUGCUUAGAAAGUCACUUGUGGCUUUUAUAACAAGGAACUUAAGGUUUGAAUUUUCAGAUUUAGUAGCUGUACAUUUGUUUGGUUUUUUAUUAACUUAAUAUACUGUGUGCCACACUUUCUUUGGGUUAUUAUUGAGUCAAGCAAUGGGUUUGAGUUUAGCUCUAAAUGCAUGUGCUUUCUUUUCCUUAAAACUUUGAGCAGAUUUGGGUCUCAAAUUUCCUGAAUUAUUUGAUGUUGUGCCUGUAAAUUUUUGGUACAGUAGCUGACGUUUGCAGUUGAGUUACCAUUUUGGUUUUGUGUGCUUUUGGCUGAUAUGGAAGAGUAAUGUAGCUUUUGCUUGUUCUCCCUCUUGAACAUUGAGAACUGGAAUUGUCUUCUUGGGUGAGCAGACUCAAUUAAACUACCUCAGUCUACAAAAGGAUCACUGGAAGUUACUAAUCCUCUAGCUCUCAGCUCCAGUAGGAUAGAAAAACAAGUUUUAAAGAGUCUGAGAAAGGUAUAGCUAAAAGCCUUUACUGUUAACUGGGAUUUAAAUAUAAUUACAUCAGUUAAAGGUUCAGAGGGUGUUUUCUUUAACCUAGGAAUAUGUAGAAAGACUAAGUAAACCGUAACAGAACAAAUACAUGUUUGUGAGGUAUUCUGCUAGGAUUCAUUAUAUAGGUGCAGUAUGUUUGGUUUAUUCAAAAGGAAAAUUGUGUGUAAAACUGAAAAGUUAAUGGAGAGAUACUCAGCUGUCUUAAAGAUCUGAAUGAAAUAAUGAAGAUACUUGGAAGAAAAAACAAAUGAACAAACCACUAGCUAUGUUCUAGAUAAAAUUUCCACCAUCAAACUCCCUUUAAUUUCAGUUAAAUCAUUUGAAUUCAUUCAUCAGUCUUUAUGCUUAUAGAAGCUAUUUGUUACUUUUCAGUUUGGAAAUGAAUCGGUUUGUGGUAAGAGCUGCAAAGCAAAGUUUCAAAGCUCUUUGUUUUUUCCCCACAUACUUAAAAUCCGAUCUGUGUCAGGUCCAUAAUGCUACGUGGUCUCUUUAGAGGUUGUAACAUUUCUCUAAAUGUACGUGACCUGAAAAAAUUCUUCACAGUUAGCAAGAUGUCAACAAAUCAGUCAGAUUUGGUAUUAUGCAGAAUACCACAUGCUGUCCUGUAUACUUGGGUCAGAAUUGAUAUUUUCAGAUCUAACUUUACUGCAUAGAUUAUGAGAAAUGAUGUAAAGUGAAAGAGGAUUGCUCAUAAAAACUCCUUCACUGAAAUACUGAAAGUUACAAAAUAAUCUAAUUAUUACACAAUUUUGUCACUGCCAAAGUUAAAUAUUACUGCAAGUAUUUAUUGCAAGAGCCUGUUAAUACUAAGAUGAAAAUAUGACAGUGACCCAUGUUUGUUCAGAGAAAUCAGCUACUACAAAUGUGUUCCAGAGGAAUAAUAAUUUAUUAUUUGUAUGUAUUCAAGAGAAGUGAUAAUUCUGAAUCUGAGAAUGCGCUUAAUGUUUCUACUGGAAAAUAGAAUAAAAAUGUAUUUAACUGUUCCCCUAAAGUACCAGUGUUUUAUAUCCAGAUCCAGAGGUGACCUGUGGUGAGACGCAAAACUGAACCACUGUGCCUUUUCCCCACAUGGACACUUUCUGCUCUUUAAAUUAUUAAAGUAUUAAAAAAUAUGGAAGUGUCUUUAUUUAGGGUAUUUAAUGGAACCUUCUAAGAAUAUAACUGUGUGUAUACAAGGUAGUUGUGCACUACACCAAACAGAAGAAUGGUGUAGAUGAUGCGGGGGGGGGGGGGCAAUAGUGAAUUUAUUAUCUCUAUUCUGCUUAACUAUUAAGCUUUUAUUUAGAGAAUCUCAGUGUGGAAGAAUGUUUUUGGAAUCUCUGGCAUUUUUUGGCCCUUGUGUGAUUUUGAUUCAUGAGUUGAAAUCUUGUUUCCAUGGAAAUAAACUGAAUUGUUGGUUUCUCCCAGAAAUUGAGGGGACUGGGGGACGUUGUUUAGGCUGCUUCUGUCUGUAAUGUUGACCAUAGUAUUUAACCUCUUACCCAUAUGAGUGGGAGCUGUGUUCUAUGGACUAUCCACGUCUAGAUUUCCAAAUGUAUGUGUAACAAAUUUUGAUUAUUGUUAUGGUAUUACACAGCACCGUGAUCUCUUAGACAAGUAGUGCAACUCUCUUCAGAUGCUUGAACCUGACUUGUCACAGCAUUCUCAGGAAUUUUGUCCAAAAGUAGAACUGUGUGUGGUUAGUUCAUGUCCGGUUGUCAACAUCAAGUGACUUGGUAUGUGACAGCUGUCAACAAUUUCCUCAGUAGGAGCCAGUAGAUCUGCCUCUUCUUUUUGCUGUCAUUACUCGUAAUGGGUGUAGUUAUUCUCUGAUUACUUUCAGAACAGCUGAAAUUAAAACAAACGGUUUGUCUCUUGGUAAAGCUGAAAAAAAAUCAGGUCUAGAUACAUAGCUUGGGGGAAGGAGGUUAAGCUCAACUAAUUUUAAUUAGAAUAGUAAGAAAAAGUGAGGCUCAAGAUGCCAGCUUUAUUGUUCCCUUAGCUCUAACUUGUAACUCAAAGAAAUAGAUAAAGUAGGAAUUGGCUGCUGUGGGAAGGGUAGGAGAAGAAUAUGAUUUUUUUAAUUUCUUAUUUUUUUCACUGGUUUGAAAGUGUUCUGCUCAUCAAGCAGUUGGGUGGGUGUCAGUGAAAACAUACCCUUCCUUGUACUGGAAAUGCCAGUUGCUUUUGCUUCAGGAGUAUUCAGAUUGAGUUUAUUUCUGGCUUUCCUAAUCUUUGAUCCUGCCAUUGAAUCCACAGGGAUGCAAAAACAGUCCACCCAUACAAAUCCGAUUUCCAAAUGCUGGCCUUUAUUUUUUUUAUCGUUUGGUUUGGACAAAUUAACAUUCUCCUUGUAAUAACCUUAGUUUACUACCAGAUAUAGAGAACUAUCUAAAACAUACACAUACAUAUUACGUAUGUACGUCAUAUUUGUUAAGACAUUGCCUUUAAUCAAGUGUUUCAAGGCUUUACUGAUAUUCUCAUUUUUCAGUCUUGUACUGUGCUGCUUUUCACUUGACCACAAUGGCCUGGAUUUGUAGCAAUUAAUUUUCAGGGGAAAAAAAAAAAAAAACAGCUCACAGUGUUUAUAACCUGAAAGCAGUCUUAGAACAAAAAGAGGAACAUGCAGCUUUAUACACGUUGUAGUGAGACCUGGUGGUUUGUUAAACUGGAUAUGGACUGUACUGUUUUUUCUGCCCUACCCCACCACCUUACUGAAUGUUUCCAGCCCCUGUUCAUAAGACUAAACCAUCUAAAGUUUGGUAUUUUUCAUCUGAAUAUAAAUAAAAGGUGAAUCUCAUAUGAAAAUAAAAAUAUUAUCCAGGAAUAGUAAAUUUCACUAAAUGAGAACAAAAUUAGAAUUUUACAGCAAAAUCGGGUGUGUAAGCAGCAUUACUGAGAAUAAAAAUGCCAUCCAAAACCAUUCUAACUAGAGUUAGGCAAGUUCAGUGACUCAUGUGUUUCCCAAAAUCAUUUUUUCCUCCUUUUUUCUGAAAUUGUAAUCAUAAAUAAACAUCAACUAUAUGUGCUGUGACAAUUAUUACAGUUAGAUUUCUAGCACUCAAGUGUUGCUUUAAAUUGGGGUUCUUUCAUUUAGUUUUGUCCCUCAACAGAUUUGGGUCAAAGAAUUGUGCUGUGUUCUAAUAUUCAUAUGGUUGGACUAGAUCAUUUCCAAGGGCCUCAUCCAACCCAACCUCUCAACUCUUCUGUGAUUCUGGGAUAUAUCAGGCUUGGUAAUUCCGGUUAUCUCAGACCUCGUUUGGGAUUCAAUGGAAAUUUGGCAAAAGCUUUUAGAUAAUUCCUGUACCUGCCUGGAAUUGUGAAAAACUGAGUUUUAUUUGGAAUUAUCUGAAUCCAAGCUUUCAAUGAGUUGUGGUCCAAGUACUCUGAAACAUGUUCCUAAAACUUGACAAAGUGCUAGGAUUAGGUAGUUAAUGAAGCCUGAUAACAGCUGGAUGUGUUCUUCUUCAUAAGAUGUCAAACCAUUUUCCUUCCAAGUGGUGAGGCAGAAGAUGCUUCUGUCAUACCUCCCAUGCUUGUCUUCAAAUAGGGAAGCUGAUCUUGUGGUUAAAGAAGUGGGAUUGAGUGGCUCCCGGCUCUUCUAUAGGUUUCCUGUGCGUCUCUCCGUGCCUUGGUUUCACCACCACUCAGUACACUGCUAGCUUCUGAAAGAUCUCAGUCAUGCUUUUUGAGUACACUGACAGUUCUACUCAGAGAACUGUAGAAAUGUAUAAUACCAUUCCUAGACAUCUUCGCAGUCUGCAAUGAACUCAGAACUCAUGUGCAAGGAGGCUGUGUGCAUUUUAUCUAGCUAAUAAUCAUUUUCAUUGAGUUGAUGUAUACUGUAGAACCUGGAGUUUCAGUCAAUCUCACUUUCAGUGUUCAAAAUACUUGCUGGAGUUACAGGUAGUGUUGAUUUUGCACAUUUUAUUAUUGAGGAAAAAUAAAUGUCAGUAGAAGUAUAUGAGAAUGGGAAAAACUUUCAGGUAAAAGUAAUUUUCCAUACUAUUGGCCUAUCUAAGAAUUCUAGAACCUCGAACAGUUCUGCAUAUUUUUCUCACAGCAGGUAAUAUAUUUGCUUUCAAAUGAAGAGUAUUUAUUUUUUAAAAUAAAGUGCUAGCAUUUUACCAGGUUAUUAAAUAUUUUGAAAGCCCUUUUUUGUUCAGUAUAAUUAGUUCAUAUGCCUAAGUCAUCUUUGGGUUUAGUACUUCUUUAAAAAGAAUUCUCAAGCUUUUGCAAUUGCUUGUUCCAAAGCUUUGGUGUUCUUUUGCAGCCUGGGGUGAAACUAAGUGUUCAAAGCCUGAAAGAAGGGUCUUGAAGGGAUCCUCAUUUCUCUCCUGAUGGAAAGUAAAAGUAAGCUAAAUCAGAGGUUCUAUUUAAGGUCCUUAAUGAUGAGAAGACAGUUAUAGACUGAGGAAUAGUUUUAUCCGUUAUAUGUGUGUGUGUGUAUAUAUAAAAAAUUAACUAACAUGUUCUGACCUGGGUUGUUGUGGGUAUUAGGAAACAUUUCUUUAAAGACUGUGAUCUAGGGUUUAGAAAUGACUAGUAAUUCUGAAAACACCAGUGUUGGAGAACUGAACUUAAGACAUAGCCAACAUGCCUUCCUAAGGUUUCAAGCCAUUCAGCCUUUCCUAGAAGUCUCACUGAUAAGUUGGAGUACAAGAGUCCAAACUCAUCACCUAGCUUUUUGCCUACUUUCAUUUCUAUAAGAAAAUGCCAUAAAUACAUACUUGUUCGUUAACAUGAAGAGAUGUCAUGUGUAUUUAUUUCCUACACUAAAAAAAAAAAGUCUGCUUAGAUUUUUAGGUAGGUAAUGUUAUACAAGCUAGAAAUUUGUUUCAUCUUCUGAGCUGCAAGUAGAUUAUGGCUUUUCAGAAUGUACACAUUUUCUUUGUAAAUUAAUCUUCCGCUAUCUUUUGUUAGUAUCUUUCAAGUUCUAUCAGCUUCCAGCUAGAAGGCUAAUCAUAAAGCAUCAGAAUUGCACUGUUUUAAACCAACAAAGGAAAGGUACACAUCUGUAAUAACAGUGUAAUGACACCAAAUAUAUGCAUGUACGGUUUAGGAUUAUUUUCCUAGAUGCUUGUUCAUUGGCACAUAGACAAUUUCUUCAAUUCUUUAUCUUUGUAUUAUGUUUUACAACACCCGUCUGGCAUCAUUAGACAUCCACCCGCAAGCAUUUUAAAGACUUUUCCACACAGCCAUAAAAUUGCACCUUCCUCGUUGAAUAUAAAAUCAACUACACCUGUAAUAACAAAGCAGGGAAUACUAUGCAUCUCUUCCUGGAUGUUAACUGCAUUGCAGCAGAGCUGUGGUGGUUUGCCUUCGCAGCCUCAGUGAAAUUAAAGGUCGUGUCCUGAUGUUAUGUCUUCCUGUUUAAAAUGAAUAGCUUGUAAAUGUUUAUCUCAACUACAAGUGAGAACAUGGCCUACAUUUGUGCUCUCCAAUUCCCAUUUUGAGAAACCAUGCAGAAAAACAGCUGUGUAUCCUUUCAUGUCUUUUCUUUUGCUGUUAAACAUUUGCAUCUUUGACUUCGGUUCUUCGCUGGGUUUCUUCCUACUUGCUUUUGGAUUUUUUACUUGAAGCUUGUGUUAGUGUUCUCUAGAUUUAUAGCGGGUUACGUUGUUUUCUGCACAAAAGAACAAGAGAAAGAAAGAAAUCCAGCACAGAAGUACUGAGAAUUCAUGUACAGCGUCAUACAGUAUAUAGUUUCUUUGUGUUCUGCCAAUAUGUAUUUCAGUUUAAAAUGUCUUGAGGCUGGUUGGGACUACUUCUAUAGAGAGAGAACCAAAGUAUACAGUAUAUUGGCUGCCAUUUUGCUGUUUUUGGACAGUCAGGGCUGCUUUCCAUUUCCUAUAAUGUUCCAAUAGAGCUAAAUCACAUAUACACUGUAAUGGCAGCUUCUGAGACCCAGGGCUUCUGUAAAAUGUAAAAGAGCAAAGUAGUAUUUGUACAGUAUAAUAUUUUGAUUUGCUAAUGAGCUGUGAGGUGGGUGUUAUCAUGAACUACUGUGCAGCAAGAAAGGUUCCUAAAACAUGCAUCAGUUUACUCCAUCUCCAAAUCAUUGCAGAUAAUACAGUGUUUAGUUUCUAAUUAGACUUGUGUUGUGCUAAUUCUCGUGAGUAGUGCAAGUGAUUGACAUUCUAUGUUUUAGUGGCAAGCAUUAGAGCAGCUGACUUCAGCUCUGCGGUGAAGCUAGCAUACAGCUGCAGAGGAAAGCAAGCCACUCGCAGAGGCUGAUUUGCAAAACGAAUGCACAUUGAUUGAUAGGGCCUUGUUAUGAGGGGAAGGAGGAAGUAUAGCACGUAUUCUUGAAUUAGACUAAUGAUAUUCUAGUCCUUAAAGGAUUAAGAGAGAAAUGUUCAACCGAAAAAUAUCCUUUGCAUAACAUUUUACAAAUUAUUUAUUUACUUUGGACGGUCUUUUACACUAUUUCUUAGGACAGGAUGAACGUUCUUAUUCCAUGCCUCAGACUGCUGGAUUUGGAAUACAGAUGUUUUGUCCUUAGUCCUGUUUUCUGUACUUGUGAGUAAUAAAUGUAACCUUCAAGGCAAAACAUUGUGAACUAAUUUCUUGAUGGAACAUGCCAGAGCAACACAAGCAUGUUAUGUGGCUAAGAUUAUUUGAGUGAUUUUUGCUAGCUUGUUAUCUCUGUGGCCAUCUCAAGCAUGGAAAUAAAGAUAGCAAUAUAGAUUUCAUAUAUAAACAGGCUCAUUGAACUAGAUGUGCCUAUUGGAUGAAUUGGGUUAUUGUAAGGUACAUCUUCUAACUUGCAGGUCUCUAGUCAGGUUGUAAUCCUUUGUUAAAGUUCUGAAUGGUAAGUUUGGCUUUUCCAAAUGGUAAUGCUAUUUGCAUUCAGCAGAAAUAAAGACUGCCUGUGGCUUCUGAUUGUUGUUCCUGUAGCAUGUGAGUUUUUCACAGCCUUCCUCAUGUCAAGGACUUAAAGAGCUGUGUGAGACAGGACAGUACCAUUAGUCCACUUUACGGAUUGGAGACCACUGGCUACAUUUUGGUCUGUUCCGUACAUUACGGUUUGCUCAGGAUGGUCAUGCUGUGGCAUGCUGCAAACCCCAUCUGCCCUCUCUGCAUGCAGCAUUGGAGCUCUUCCUGGAGCAAGCUCCUCUGUGAUUUAUUGGCACAAAGUUUUUGGUACGGUGUAACUGGAAGAACAGAUGGGAUGAAUGAUGGCAGACUUGGACAAGUUGCAUUUGGCAGAGAGCAGAUCGCUGGAGUCAGUCACUUUAUGGGUCAGAUUUUCAAUUUAAGUGUUGUUCCAUGUAGAUUUCCUCAUCCAGGAUCAAUGAAAGUGGUACAGUGCAACCGUUGGGUUUUGAAAGCUACUAGGUUUGUGCUAGAGGCUGUGUUUUUACAAGACAUGACACUAAGACAUUCACGUUUGUCUGUGUGCUUUGGCCUGCCAGUAGUAAUUUCUUGUAGGUUGUGUAAAUACAGGUCUCAUUUUGCUUUGUUGGUUGAUGUUGGGGUAAUUUAAGUUAGACUUGAAAGCUUUGACUAAAAUCUCAACUAAUAAAACUUAAUCACAAGGUAAGAAUGAUAAAAUCUGUCAUCAGCUUGAGAAAGGAAGGUGUAGGCUAACCCAAACCUCGCAUUAACAUCUCUUCUAAUGCGGUCUCUUUUGUCUCUAUCAGAAAAUGCGCACACACAUACACACACAAAAAGGCUUAGAACUGUGUGAGAGCAUCAGUAAACUUGAAAGCAAUAUCAUGUGGCAUAACUGUUCACUUGACCCAGCUAUAGUCAAUAUGUUUUAACUCUACAAGAGACCUAUGCUGUAGUUGGUUUGAUAACAGCUAUACGAAGGAUUUUCUGAAACAUUCCUAUUUCUCCAAAUAACUGAAGAGAUGACCUGUAAAACAAGAAUUGCUGUUUGUGGAAAGCUCGCUUAAUUGCUGCAUAGGUUGCAGUUGAGAUUCAGUGCUAAAGCAUUUGCCCUACUUGCUCAGCAAAACAUCCAUGAAAUCUAUCCAGUCUAUUCUAGUAAUUGAGUCUAUUCUAGUAAUGACCAUGCCUUAAAAUAGGACAGUGAAGCACACUUUACCUGUAGAGAUAUAUGAUCCUCAUAAACAGAGCUUACUGUUAUUUUCUGAAGUAGAUUCUGCAUGGGUAUCCAACCUUUUGCCUUGCCUGGGCUGCAGAGUGAAGAGGAAUUUUAUGUAGGUACGUAGGAUUUAUUUAGGUUACUCCAAAAGUAAUGCCUCCUAUUUAUUUCCAUGGAAACAUCAACAGUUACAAAGAGCACAAUAACUGUGAUUGAGCAAGUUCUCAGCUACUACUUCUCAACAUAGUCACCAUGAUUAGCUGUGCAUUUUUGCCAGCAAUGAACAAGAGCUUGAACACUGCACUUGUGAAAUUCUAUACUAGUGGAGGUUACCUACUGUGGUCACUGCUGAAAUGCACUACCUCUCACCUCACUGUGCUGACAUCCACUGUUCAGUCUCCAUAAAUGUUCAGCAAGCAUCAGUGAAUGUCAGUGGGUACCAUUUUCUUCUGUGUGGAGGAAUUCAUUUCCACAUCUUUGUGUCAGAUGCCAUUUUGUCAGAUGGCCCCUCUGCUGCCAUCUGUCACAAGGCAACAAAAUUUAAUGGAACAGUGGCGGGAUGGCUCAACCUCUGCUGCCAUACCACCAAGAUCUGCCUCUGACGUCAUGGGCCAAUAUAAUAAAAGAGAAGGCAAUACUUUCAGAGCAGCCCUCAUUCAAUAUAUAAUAUAGUAAAUGUAUAUAAGAAGUAACAGAACAUUUUAUUUUUUAUUGUUUUUUAUUAAAACAUAUAAAAAAGAGCAAUGAAAACAUAAAACUGGAGGGAUAUUUGACCUUGUCUAUGUGAAACCAAUGCAUCAGUCUCUUUCAAUGGCAGUGGCUGCAAUUCUUAGUUCUCAAGGUGUUCAGUAGAGACUUCUUGUGAGAUUUUACUCUUCCCAUGCUUCAUCCUUCAAAACAGUUGUUCACAAAUGUAUGUACUGUCAAAAAGUGAUGGCACGAAUAAGGCGUGACUUGUGGAGUAAGGGCUAUUUCUGUCUGUUAAGAGAGGUUGUAUAAAAGUCUGGUGAGGAGAUGUGAUCCCGUUUUUAAUUGGAACUCUAUGCAUUUGGACUGAAAAUUCGCAAAUAAUGUAUUUAUGUAGAAUGAAAAUGGAGUCGCAAAUUAAAAAAUGGUUCAUUUUUUUUUCAGCAAUCUUGAAACCUCUUCUCAAUUUUUUUUAUCAAAAUGGAAAGCACGGCUUCAUAUUUUUUUGCUGUUCACAGGACUGUGUUCAGCCAGUGUAUCAAACUGCACCAACUUACUUGCAGUAAUUUGAGCUGGCUCUGCACUGCACCCCAUGCCCUGCUUUCAACCCAGAUAGGGUUCAUAGUUCAGCCUGGUGGGGAAGAGCUGCUGCAGUGAUGGUGCUGGGCAGGGAGCAGGCCGCACUAUGAGCUGUGCUGGACUGCAUGUGGCCCAUGUGCUGUGGGUUCAACAUGCCUGAGAUACUGUAAGGCAAAAUGUAAACGUGAUAUUGACACAUACUUGUACUGUACAGCCAUCUCAAAGUGAGCUCCACUCUGUUGCCUUGCAGAGCGUGGUUUCGAUCAGCUACAGCCUGCUCGUUUAAAUGUCUUCAUAUGCCUUGAUUAUAGCUUACCCUGAAGGAACUGAUGCUUUGAAUAGGUAACAGAUGACAUGGUAGCUGUAUCUCACCAUAAGCAAACUGUGCUGUUACUCAGGUGUGGCCAGUUUAAGUCUCACUAUUUUACUGCUCUGCUUCUUCUGUGGAAGUCUCCCUGCCAUUUUUGUUAAAAGCCAAAGUAACUCAUGAAGGUCUGGAUCAGAACAGAGCACAAUUGUUUGUGAACUAAAUGCACUGAAACUCUUUUGGAAGACAAAGAAGGAUCUUUUGAUAUCAGUGAUAGAAAAUGGACUUCUGUUUGUCAUGACACCAUAUCAUUUGCGUAUUUCAGAGAGAAACUGCUGUGGUGCAUGCCUGCAUUCCUACCUGCUACCAUUCAGCUUAUGUUAAAGCUUAGGGAAGAAAGGACCGUUUCUUUUCCCACUGUGCAAAAUGUUUCCUUCAGUUUGGAAGGCGAUGUGUUAGCUGCAGUUAGAUCUUUAUAAGCACCAAUAAAUCUCUUAAUCUAAACGCUUGCAGGAAUAUACUAACGGCAUGGUCAGAGCAAUUGGAAACAUAGGAACUUCAAGAAGGAGUUCUCUCUUCGAAGUGAGUUUUUCUUUGGGCUACUUCACCACAAGGCAGCUGACCUUCAGCACAACCAGGAGCCAUUCUUCAUGCAUCUGUUGCUUACGUGCCUGAGAAGACAUGUAAAGGAGAACCCAACAGUGAAACUUCAGCAUUGUUGUGGCUUGUAUGAAGGGAGAAGUGUGUCUUAUCUACAUUAGUGCACCUUGCAUAUAUCCAUAUCAGCAGCAUGGCAGGAAAAAUAAAUUCCUCUUGUUCUCUCCACAUGUGAUGAUCCUUAAAAUUCUUCACAAUAAUGAAGCUUCACUGCAAGCUGUAAAGAGCCUUAGGGCCUUGUCAGACAUUCUUGCACUUCUCAGCUUAUUCUGUUGCACCUUGAUAGAGAUAAGACCAAUUAUUAGAUCUUCAGUUUAGACUCCCUGCAGUUACUCAGUGCAGAGAGUUUUCAUUAUCUAUCCUUUACUGCUCUAGCCCUACGGUUUACUUUAUUGAGAUUAUGUACUUGUUGCUAAUGGCCGAAUUUGGCUACCAGGGAAGGAUGUGGUUUUGAACUCUGUGGGAUGUCAUUGAUGUGUAAAUCAUCUCAUCUCUUCCAAAUAGUGUCCUUUCCAGAACUUUUCACUGAGGUGUCUAGCCUUCAGAUUGUAAAAUAAUUAGUGAUUUUGGAUGGUCAGCCUCAGGAGUCCUCAGAGGGCGCCAAAAUCUUCAGGAAUUGUUGUUACAGAAGAUGACAUCUAAAAUUGUAGAGCCCCAAGUUUUGAAAAUUUCAGGCUUGUGUCACUAUUCAUGAGAGAUUAAAACUUACCAAUAUUAAUGAAAGAAUACUUGUAUCAGGAGUCCUUUAUCUGCACAGUAGAUGUGUUUUAGAGCCCUGUCUGAGAAAUGUGCAGAUUCUGAUACUACCAUUAAGACAAAACUAAGCAGAUAGAAGUGAUUCAAACCGAGAUCUAACAUGUCAGUCAUCUGCUACUGGAGCUGAAUUUGAAUGAGACCUGCAUGCUGCUGUGAGACCUUUGAGCACCUCAGACAUUAGUCUGUGAUCUGCUGUAACCAGGUGAGGCAGAGGCCUGCAGCAGCAGUGUGUGGUAGGGAGUUACACAUGUGCUUAUUAGGCCCCUUGCAGUGCCUGGUCGAUGGGACUGCUUGCCUUCAGUGACUGCGAACUUAUGAAGGUAUAAAAAACUAAGUAUUAUACACAGCUACUCGCUGCAAUUUACACUGUGUAUAUAUAUAUAUAUAUAUGUAUAAAUUAUGUAUUUGUAGUACGUGGGAUAUAAGGGAUUUUAAUACUCGGAUCACACGGACUGCUAUUUUUUUUCAGAUGAAUGUGAAUCUAAAAUUGUGUAGGCCACGUCAGCAAUAACCCUGUGUAGUUUAUUUUUAUCCAGAUCUACGUGAAGUUUCAGUAUUUGGGUGCGUACUGAUUGAUCUUCAUUUUAAUAUCAGUGAUCUGUUGCUUUCACAAAAAAAAAAAAAAGAAAAAAAACUUCUCAGUGUCCUGGAGAGAAAAGGGCUCUCUCUGGUAUUUACUCUGAUAAAGAUAUUUCAAAGAAGUGAUUUGUUACACAUGCAUUGACCAAAUUCUCUGCUGGUAUGAACUGGCAGAGCAGUCUACUCAGAGCAAGUUUAUGCUGGUAUAUAUGGCAGAUGCUUUGGCCUUAGCAUGCUGCAAAUGGCUUCUGAUUCUCCCAGUUCCUGAAUGGGGGAAAGUUUUUAUUUGUUUUCAAGAGUAAUUUUGCUCUAGUGUGUAUACUCUGGGUCAGCGGUCUUAAGGCAGUGAGGUGUCUGUAUAUGAUAAGGGAGACAUUACACUUGAGCUAACGUGCUUUUCUGGUUCAACUGAACUAGAGGAGAAAGAUGGAGGGGCAAAGAAUAUCUAUAAAUUGAGCAAUGCAUCAAGCACUGCCAAUAGUCUUGAGUGCAGCUCAGUUCAAAAACUUCAAAACCACCGCUUAAAGGAACAGUGGAAAUAUUUUCCAUCAUUUUCUAUGAAAUGACAUGGCUUGUUUACUGUUUCUUGUUUAUCUGCUCUGCGUGAUAUGUCAUAUUUAUCAGUAAAACAGGCUGUAGGGGGUAACAGUACUUAAAUGUUUAUUUUAUGAUGUUUUGGCUUUUGGUGUGUUUAUUCUGCAUUUUCUGACUAAAUUUAUGCUCACAUAGCUUUUUCUUCUGCUGUUACACUUUAUCUGUCUCAGGCUGCCCGGAAAAGGAUGUUGUAGUAGUCUGGCAAAAUGAACUCAAGAUGCACAAGAAGAACAUACUAGAGACUGAUCUGCAAGGUGUUCAGGUAUUCGUGAUUUCAUUAUGUAUACCAGUAAUUGUUGCAUGAUGUAAGGUACUCUGCAGUUUACAGGCUUGAGGGUAAAUAUUUGUGUUAACUCACAAAAGGUGAUGAUAAAACAACAGAAAAUGAAUGAAAAAGUCACAAGAAACAUUAAAGCUGCAACGAACAGAUGAAGCUGUGAUUGAACAGGUACUGUCUAAGAGUUGCAGCUUGCAGUUCAAUACAUAUUUAGUCUGCUGGAUAUUCUAUCUUAUCCGUUAGCUAAGUCAGAUUUUACCUUAUUACUACCCAGAGUACUCACAGCAAUCUAAAUUGCUGAGGAUAAAGCUGGUUCUCUCCUGAUUUCCACGGGAGAAAAGUGAAAAGGCAACAUCUGAAGAAGGCACUGUGAUCCCUGGAGAACUGAAUUAGAUCUUGGGAUCUGAGCAAGCCAUGGGUGAGGCUACCAUGAGGGUGAAACUCAUUUGAGUGCCGAGAGGUGACAGAAGGCCUUGUGUACUUCAAGGAUUUUGUUAAGAUUUAAAUAGUGUAAACAUCUUGAACACAGUUGAAGAAAGGUUUGGCAUUUGCAGUUCUUCCCCUGUAGAAACUGGACUUCCUAGCUGGAUAGCAAGGAUGGUUUAGAGCAAGGUUGUUGAUUUCUAGGUUUAGGAAAAAUAGAUCUUUCUUUUACUGGUGUAAAGGGAGAAGUAGUACAGGUGCCUGUUUAGUCUAUACUUCACUGAAACAAGGAGAAAGAUCAUGUGAUUGUUUUUCAAAGCUUCUUGUGAGCAGGUGAUGACAGGUCUGCUAUAGAUGUGAAAACUAAUGACUUAACAGCGUGUAACCGCAUACAUUUUUGUAUUACAAUGAUAGUGUAGUGAUAUUGACUGUUUUUAUAUUUUUAUUUAUUUUAACUAAUUAAUGUAGUGAAGCAAAUUGGAUUGCUGACAGGCAUAAAGGUAAGAGUAUUGUUCGCAGAAUGCAUCAAUACAGCGUGCAUCCUAAGAAAAUGUUUUACUAUUAUAAUCAUUACAGUCUUACAUUAUCUCAUUAUAGUAAUUAAAUGAUUAUCACAAACAUUGCAAACUGUUGUUCGUAAUCACAUAUUUUACACUGAAAAAAAAACCACCAGCAGAAGCAGAGGUACCUCCAAAGGGUGUAUAUUGACAGCUGUGUCAGUAUCGUGCAAAAAAUCACCCUUGUUAAAUGUUACGCCAUAUGUGACUGUCUGAAAAGUAAAUACGAGUACAUAACAAUGUCACUCUAAAUAUUUUCUUCAAUUCCUAAACUAUACACUGUACCAGCUUUCAGAUAUUUAUUCAAGUUCACAUUUUAUUGUGUGUGCAUUCCGGUGGUUUUGGCCCUGUGUUGGUAGACAGAAUAUUGAUGUACUCUUCUGAAUUUUGCUAUUCAACUGCCGGUUUGACUUUGUACAGUUUACUUCAUCUGAGUGAGCCUCGGAUGCUUUGCAUGCAUAACUGAAGCACCUGAUCUUGCUACACAUAGUACAGAUGUAAGGUGUGGGAUCAGUGAGUGAUAGUGUAGCAUUCUCAUUUUGUCUUUACUGGCUGUUUGGGUGGUGGUGGUUUUUUGUUGUUGUUUUUUUUUUUCGUAACAUUGGUCUUCCAAUGCAAGCAGUUGCUAGUAGCAUCAUCCUAAAAUAUAAUGACAGCAACAAAAGUUCCUGGUUUUCUUCCAAGUGUUUUUGAACCUUGAGCCAGACCACUGGCCUUCAGAAAUAUCCCCAGUCUGAUUUUGGAACCAGAAGAAAAGAGCAGGAAACUGCUGUCGGAAGCUGGUAAUGUAGAAUUAGAAAAUGUUUCUCUUCAACUUUCAAGAGUGAUAUUAUUUUCCUAUAAGAAAGAUUAAUUGUAUCUAAAUCAUUUUAACUUUUAAAGUGUUUAACUACUCAGUUACACGUUUCAUUGAAAAGAGUUCAUGCUGUAAGACAGGAGAAAUGAGCCUUAUCCAAAUUCUGCUGACAAUAGAUAGGAAGAAUAGUAUCUGAGAAUAUUCUAUAAUCUGAAAUUAAGAGCGAGUUUUGUAGCCAGAGGAGAAAAAUUGGUGGUCAAAUCAAAUAUCCUGUACGUUAGAUGUGAAUUACAGACCUUACUUAGUUCAAAAGCUCAUAAGCAUGGGGAAAAUAAACUUGACUUUGAAUGUCAGGUUGCGAUCAUUUUAGCACAUCUGAUUCCCUCAAAAUAAGAAAAAUCUAAAAGUCAGAUUUUCCUUUUAGAAAUCUCAAACUAUAUAUAAUUUGGAUAACAAUGAGUAACAAGCUGCUUUGGAAAGGAAACUUUUUUCCUUCUUUGAGGAAAAAAUUGCACAUAAUACUUAGCUGCAAAACUUUUUUACUUCUAAAAGUAUCCCAGUAUCUGUUUUUCUAAAUAAAUUGCAGUUAUAAUAAAACUACUCACGACUGUUGUUACAUUUGAGAAAUUUUUAUUCAUUUUAGUUUUCAGAGGAGUAGUUCUAUUUCUGAAGUUUUCUGUGAUUUUGGGACCUGAACAACUUGAAAUCAGUAUAUUAACACAGUAUUUCUAUAAGACGAUGGCAUUCUAAGUGGAACUUUCCAGAGUGGAAAACUUCACUCUUAAAGCCCUAGUAUGUCUCAUUCCAAAAAACUCUGCAUUGAGUGUAGAAAGUAUUAGUAAAAAAAAAAAGAAGUAUUAGUGCAGGACAUGAUGCAAGAUUAUUCCAGUUAAUUGUAUAAGCCAGUUCUUUCAUUCCUAUUUGCUUCAUCUUGUAACUAUGGCAAUGGUUUCAGAAAGUGCUGGAAUAUUGGCUAUUUUUUUAAAAUUGAUUCAGUGUUGAAUGGUGACAGUGAUGUGUGGUUGCUGCUGACGAUGAUGUUUGGAUUUCAAAAUGACAUCUUUGCACCUAUUAUGCAGCCCAAGCUUGAGCAAAGCAAAUGUAGCAGUAGUAGUUAAAUAUCAGCUGUAAAAUCCAAAUAUGGUGAGGGUGCUGGGGAAGAAGAAAAAAAUAAAAAUUAACUUAACUGACUGCUUUCACAUUGCAAGUUCCAGAACUUGUGGUCUAAAAGUUUGGGUUCUUUUGCUUAUGUUCAGAAAGAUAAAUGAUUUUGUUUCCCCUUCUUCUGUGAGGCAGAAGUUGGACCUCAGUAUCAUAUAUUAAACAAUAAAGUGUUACGUGCGGAAGGAAGAGAAUUUAAGAUGUGAAUUAAGUUUGGGUUAUAAUAUAACUGACAACAAAACACCAGAGAAGAGACAUGAGCUGGGAUGAGAUGAAAUGAGACGAGACAUGAAAGAACGGGUAAAUUGAUGACUUAUCAGCCUACAGAUGGGAUGUGAAGAUAUGUGAGUGGAGAAUGAGAUCAUCACCGGGAAGUACAGUAGGGGAAAAGAAGGGGUUUCACAGGAAAGGUCCCAGUAGUCUCUUAUGGAUAGUGGGAGGAUUGAUUUAAUCCACAGGAAAAUGAAUAUGAAAAAUGAUAUAAAGGUGGGCUGGCUUCCAAACCUCAGAGUGGCUUGAUUUUUUUCGCAAUGUACUUCAAAAAAAAAUGAAAUAAAAACACUGAGUAUGACCCUGAACCUCGAGCAGUAUGUGGGAUCUGUGCACCUUGAUGGUAUUCCCACCUAGCUAAAACUACAUAAACAUGCUUUCAAUUUUGGUAAUGAAAGGCAAUUUUCAGCAUUUUGAGGAAACUACUGCGUUGCUUAGAAUAAAGAGAGGAGGCAAAAUUAUCGCCUUCAAUCUAAACAAUGCAGUAGAUUUCUUAAGAUGUUAAAAUUUGCCUUCCAUUCUGAAGACUGAAAGCAUGCUUCCAUGUUUCCAAGUAACUGUGUCCUUUGUGUUAUGCUGAAGCCAAAUAAUUUCUUAUGGAUGAUAAGUGGUGGAAUUGAUUGCCAAGUCCUGUUGAAUGAAAUUUCAGUUGGCACAAUUAUAAUCCAUUUCAAGAUUCAGCAUCUUUAAAUUUCCACCUACAAGAUGAAAAUAAAUACUUGGCUGCUUGCAAAGUAUUAAGUGAUACGUACGGAUAUGUCAAGUUUCUGCAUUCCUUGAAUCGUGUCCACCCCACCUCUUUUCUAAUUUUAUUCUCAUACCUUGUUAGGAAUCUUUAGGAAGAUCUGUUCAGAGAAGUGCACAGAAAUCUGUUAUUCAGCUGAAUUUGCAGAGUCGGCUGGCAGCCUUAUGAGGAAAACUUUUCUGGAAUUUCAUCUUGCAUCUAGUUCUGACAAGAGGAGACUGGAAUUCGAAAGAAACAAAAGAGUGAUCCUCACAGAUUCAAUCAUUUCUGGUCGACGUCUUCACUAAAAAUAUUAUGAGGCGUCUAGAUUGCUGGUCAGCAAAGAGUUCUGAUUUGUUUGAAUGCCACCAACUUUUUGUUUUAAUUUCUGUUUGGAGUAUUACAGUGAACUAUACUUAAAAUUCAUAACAAUGCAUUAUUCUAAAACUGCAUGUGGAGUUAGUUUGGGGUGAAACUGAAAAUAUAAUGGUAGUUUUUUUCUGAAAAUAAGAGAAUUAAAAAAAUGCUGAAAGAUUUUUUGCUCAGAUUUGGCCAACAGACUGAGACAGGAAUGAUCAACUUUAAUCUUUAGUAUUUUACAUUUUGUUGACCUGUUCCUGACUAUUUCUUCACAGCAGGGAGCAAAGAGCUACUCACAUUACAGUAUCUCCUGAGGAAGGGAUGGAAGAUCUGAGCCCACGGGCUGAGUCCCGGGACUCAUCCAGCAGAGAGGUGGGCUGUCCCCCCUUCCAACUGUCACCUGUCCUCAGCUCUAGCCAAAACAGAAUGCCUAAGGAAGUGAGUAAGAACAAGGAAAUUGUGUAUCAUAUUUCUGCUGAAUUAUCCCGCGGUGUUCAGCCAUCCUAGAGAUGUACUCAGCCAGGCAUAGUUUCUUUGUAUUUAGUAACCACGGUGGAUUUCUAUUCUAUAAACUUGUAUGCUCUUCCUCUGAGUCCUGUAAACUCUGGACAUCUACAUUAUUCUGUAGGAGUCCCUCAGCUUAACACACAUGUUAUGAAGAACCACUACCUGUUUGUUUUGGAACUUCCUCCUCCUAGUUAUAGAUGAAAGAAUGCAUUAUAGAAUCUGACAACGGAGCUGGUAAAGGAUUAUUGAGAUUAUAUAUUGAAAUGUGAGUCAUUCUAGGAAGAUGUUAGCUUAGUGGGGUAGGUCAACAUAAUUUAGUAGUCCAGGAUAGGGUAGCCUUGUAAAUGAGAUAACUACUAACCUAAAAGGUCUGCACUCCAAGGGAAUUUAUGUUGUAGGUGCCAUAUCAGUUCUAAGGAUGGGCAUGUUUGAUAACAGCGGAAGUCUCAUGAUAGGUGCUAGUUUAAUGAAGCAUUUAAGCAUAUUUAACUCUACUACCAUGUUUCAGACUAAGUAUGCACUAGGGUAGUUUACUGGGUCUGCAUUUUAUUCUUGAGGUAUUUUGUAUUUAUAAAAUGUAAUUGUGCUGGAACAUGUAUGUGAAAAUCACAUCUACCUACUUGCUUGAUAAACACCAUAUACUUCAGAUUUUACUGUCAUUUGAUAUGUGUUAGAUUUCCUUCAUUCCUUCCUCCUAAACAACUGGAAUCUCACUGAGAUCACUAAGUUCAGUAAUUUUUAGCUCUCCAACAGAUGAGAUCUGACCAGGAGUGAGAAGUGGGAAUUGAAGAGGAAAGGUGCAUCAUGAAUCCUGACAUUAAAAAAUAUAGCAAGGAAAGGAGUCAUCGGUCUGUUACAUAUUGAGACACAAGAUCUCCCUUGAGUGUGUUAAUGAAUGCUCAAAUAGUACUUAAAGAGACAAAGAUCCAAAAGACCGUUAAGUUGUCAAUAUUUCUACCUUCUAAGAGAUUGUUCGUAUGCUUUCUUUCCUGGUAGAGCAGAUUGGUGGAUAAAUCAGGAUGUUGCCAAAAGUCACAAGCCAUGUUUAAGAUUAGUCUGUUCUUAAGCUUUCUGGGGUGAAACUUGUAUAAUAUAAUAAAAGUUCCUUGUAGUCUCUGUCCAUCAACAAGCACUUGAGUGGUGGGAUGAGAAAACAGAGCAGGUUCAUCUGUCCUUUGGAGUGGGCAUAGUGCAGAGCUGAAAAUGAGAAAGUUGUGACUGCCUGAGCUGUUUUUUUUUCUGAAACAGCCGCCCCUUUGUAGCAUCUUCUGUAGCAUCUAAAAAUAAAAAGUGCAUCUCCUUGCUGUGCUUGUAAAAGACGUUAAAAGCCUCAAAUGGAAAGCAUUGUAAAGAGCAAAGUAUUAAAAUUACUAUUUACACAUGCAGUUCUGCAGACUGCUAAGAUUUCUUAUGCAAAACCAAACGACCAGCCAGACAUACUUAAAAAGUAUGACAGUGAGAGACUGUUGAGUUUGGUUGCCUGUGGGAGUUCCUCUUUACUUGAUUUCAUUCUGAGGUUUUUUAAUGCAAACAGACUUUGCAAGUUUUAGUCCACUGAAACUUAAAUGUCGAAUCUUCUUUUUGGCAAAUUAUUAAAGUAAAUAAAAUAUGUGACAUUAUACUUUAUAACAGUAGCACUCUUAAAUGAGACAUAGUAGAGUUCUGGGUUGACACUCAAACUCUGUGUAGUUCAGUAUUUGAUCACAUAUAUCCUGAAUUCCUUUUAUGCAAAAAUAAAGGUUGGGAGAACUUGGGACUUUUUUUAAUAUAUUCUCACAUGACACAGUGGGGCACUGAAAGAUAAGGACCAGAGGGUCAAAAAUGUUUACAUUCUGCUUAGACAGUAGAACAAAAGGCUGAACUUUCAGAAAUACUCUGCUCUAUUGGCUCUGUCUGAACCUAAAAACUGAAGCUAGAAUUGGUUGGUGCUGAGCUCUCUUCAUGAUCUGACAUCAGCAGUGGGUUUCUACGACUGGAAAAUCUACUUGCAGCUAAAUUUCCUUAGGUAGCACAAAAACUGUGUUUCAGUACAGGAAGUGAAUAUGGAUGCUCAGUAUUCAUCCUGUAUUUUAAACAAUACAUGUUUCUGGGUUUUUUUUUUGGUAGUAUUUUUUAAGGAGGCAGGCAGUAAAGGGAAAAGAAACACCUCAGAAGUAAUAAAAUGCCAUCAUAAAGAUGGAAAGGAAAAAAGACAUCAGAGACAAGGUGUAAGAAAAUGCCAUAAAUAGUACAUUGCUGGCACUGAAAGAUGGAAACCAUAAAAAACAAAAACAAAACAAAAACAAACAAAAAAAUGUCAAGAUGUAAAAAGAUACCACAAACGGUGUGAUUAUGGUAUUGGCACGGGCCAGAAAUGGCCAGAUAUGUGUAAUAAGGAAGAUCACUAAUAGCUAUAUUUUUUCAAAUAAGGUAGGAAUUCAGUUUAUUUCUAAGUUGAAUUGGCAGAAUGCUUGUUAUUGUCAAAAUAAAUGCAACCUAAGCAAAAGAUCUCAAAUACAAAGUUGUAAAACCUGUGACUUUAUAGAUCUUCUGGUGAGCAUUUAUGUCUCGUGUACUCAAGGUCUAUACAGAUACAACAGAGGUAUCUUAAUCCAGAAUACUUACGUAAUUCUGACUGUUCGAAUCCUUUCUUGAAGCCGUACGCUGCUUUUCAGGCAGGUUAAAAUGAGGUGUUUUCUUAUGCUUGAGACUGAUAUUCAACUUUUCUUAUAAGGCCUUAUUAAAGGCUUUGUAAAAUUUGAAAAUUGGUAGUGUUAAAAUUAAAACAGCAUCUGGAGAGAGGUGCAUAACAUGCUAUAUAGUUUUUCAGCCUGGUUAUGUGAAGACAGGGUUCACAGCAGUACUUAAAGUCACUCUGGACCUUUCUUUAGCUAAAAAGGGGGAAAGGUGUUCGGUUUUUGGAGAACAGCCUAUGUUUGUAUGUACUCAAAAUAGUGAUUGAUUUGCUAGGUUUAUUGACAGACAUUGCAUGCAUUUCAAGUCACUGAACAAUAAUAUGCAGUAAUUCUGUUUUCUUUGUGGAGAUAAUUAAGCCACACAGCAGCUGCCUAGCAAAUAUCAGCACUCUCCUACUCUUUCCCAGGAGAACAGAGUCAAGGCAGAAGUGAUCUGACCAAGAGGCCACAGUUACUGGAUGGCAUGACUGGGGUGAGAAUCAAAUCUUACCAGCCCUGAUCACAUUUGUUACCACUGGGAAGGGUGCAUUUACAGUGCUUACACUUUCAUUCAGUUUGCUGUGCAUAUGCAAAGGAGAAAGUCGUGUGUCUGGAGAAAAGCAAUAUGGCUGUGCUAAGCACUGUACAAACACAUAAUAAAAGGUAAUCCUCAUGUCAGCACUGCUCAGUCUAACUGUAUAAAAGAGACAGAAAUCCCCUGUAUAUUUGGUUUAAACCGUAGCACAAGGUAAGCUAUAUCCAAAUUAAGAGAGAUUUACUUACGUGUCUGAUGAUUUUUCUUGAAUCAAGACCAUACAUUAGCUAAAGAGGACACCUUUCAGUCACAGGUGUACUCAAGUACCAUUUCUGAAAAUGUGGUGUACAGUCAUUAUUCCACAAACUGACAGAAGUGCUUAGGUUAGAAGUUGAAGCUUACUAAAACCGCGUAUGGUUUGUACAGUAUCAUCCUCCUCUAUAAAUAAAUAGUGUAUAACCUUUGUGCUCUGGAGACCUAGUAAAGACCCUGGCAGGACAUCACACAGCCUCUUAAUAUAACUUCCCAGCUAUUUGUGGAACUCUGCCUUGGUGUCACUGAGAAACAAAGUUGGAGGUGACAGUUCAGAUUUUGCAUCCUCCUUCCGGAGAGCCAUUUCAGUCGUGCAGCCAAUUGUGUCUCUUACUGUGCAUUUAUAGCUUAAGGAAUCACUGGCAAACGAAAAUAGUCCUGGGCACAGCAGAGAUGGACAGAGGUUGAAGGCAAAGGUACAGCUCCAUUUUUACGUUAAGUUACUGAAAUUGAAUGUUUAUUUACUUGGUUUCUGUUUCAGUGAAAAUGGUAGAGGGAAUAACUGUUAGUGUGAUGUAGUUCAGAGAAGAUACGGUUUAGAAUGUUAAACCAUUUAAGUGAACUCCCAAAUAUCAAAGGACCUAUUAUAUUAAAAUAGCAUAUUAAAACAAAAUACAAAUAUUCUCUUCCUUAGUCUCUGUCACUUUGAUGAUUGAAAAUAUUUUUUGCUUAUUUUUCAAUUGCUGAUCCUUUUCUGUGUAGAUAAAUGAGCUUCCAAGUCUAAUGGAUUUUAACUUCUAAACUUCUUUCUCCUCAGAUAAUUAAAAUAAAAACGUGUAAAAUGCAUGUAGCAGAACUGUUUUGAGGUGCUCCGUCUAUCUUACGGUAUUCACGAGCUAGCAUGUUACUAUCAGAAGAAAACAUGCAUCCAACUACAGAAAUGCUUUCUUAUGUCUUUUUGCCUGUCAGGGCUCAGGUAAGCUGUUCAGCCUGAGACUAUGAAGCCACCAAACCUGGCGCAUGCCAGUUGAUCAGCUUCUGUUUAAAGGAGCAGUUUUGAAAAUUCCUCAGUUCGUGCCUACUAAACACAUUCCACAGGAGGAGUGGAUACUGAGAUCCUCCCAGGUCUCUAGAAAGGCCAGAUUUCUGCCUGGCGCGUGUGAACUUGUUCUCUGAGCCACCUGCUGUAGCUCAUUUCUGUAUUCAUCCUCCUUGGGCCGCUUAUCACGGGUUGAGGACAGCAGAUCUCCCACCAGCCGUGCUUUAGACAGAGCGUUGGUGUCUGUGGCCUUCAAGAAGAACAGAGGCCAAGAGGCUGGCAUACGGACCGGCAGGUAGGCAAGCACAGCUCAUCUUUCUGGGCAGUGGAACUGGAAAAUGGAUUUGGGCAACAGAUGCACUUGUUGCAAGGACAGAUUUUUCUCUUGACUAGGAUUUGGUGUCUUUUUGGUGUUUGGUCAGGGUAAGCCUCUCUGAGAUGUGAAGGACCCAUUCAUACGUGUAACUUUUUUCAUAUGUCUAAACUUUUCAGGUUCCUAGUGUGGUUAUUCCUGUGUGCUGUUAGUGGUGAACAGUGCAGAGUUCGUUGAUUUUAUCCACGCAUUGUACUUUUUCAGGACAGCAGUGCAGUUUAGGAGAAUUUAAGGAGUACAGGUGAGAAUGCAAGUUUGAUUUGUAUCGUGCUAUUCCAGCAACACAUGCUGGAAUGAGUUAGAAUGCUUAUGAUAAAGCAGCCGCUGAACUCAGUGUAAUGUUCUGAAAAAUGUAAUAAUAUUUCAGGCUAAAGCAGCAUGUGCCACUAGCUAGUAAAAAGCAGAGGAUGAUCUUCUUGUAAACUGAAUUUUCCCUAGUUUUAGAGACAGUUUCUGGUUUCUUGCAGUUAUAUCUGAGUUUAGUGAUACAUAUUAGCUGAUGCAUCGUUUAGUUUACAUAUUUAGUCUAGAUCCUUGGAGCUAGAUGAAGAUAUGUUAAUGCCUAGUGUGUCUGCUCAGAGGCCUAUUUUUACACUGAUUAUACAAAGAAAAUCAAAACAAAAUAUUUUCUUUUAUACUCCAUGAUUGUUCCAUUGUUUUACUGUUGAAUUAAUGAAUGUUCAGUGCAAAAUUUACAACAGAAACGUUAGAUGCCACUGGAAGGGAAACUCCAGUGUGUUUUAUGGAUAAUUCUUCUUUUUUUUCUUGCUCCUUUGUGAUUACAGAGUGCUAUAUUUUCAAGAGGGUGAGAGAAAACACUAAGGGCUGCUCUUGGAACCAGAACGCAGACUCAUUUUAGUCACUGGUCUUUGUACAGAUUGACUGCUCUUGACUUUGCUCCCUUUCUGUGUUAUUUGGUGUUAAAAAUGGUUUGCAGUGUUUCAGAGUCCCACAGUGUGUGGCCUGAGUUACAUGAGUAUAUUCUGUGAGAAUUAAUAGUGCCAGUGGAACUCAGAGUUGAUAAAUGCUACUAUUACCGUACAAUUACAUACUAAAUGUUACCUGCAUUACUCUCUCAGGCCAACACACUGCACUCCCAGGGAAGAAACGCAUAACAUGACAUGAAGAAAAUGAGAACAUAUUUAAAUGGGAUGUCUCCAGGAUAGUCUAGGGAGACAUUAAACUGGAUUUCAGCUUAAGUCUUGUGUAGGUAGAUAUGCCUGUGAAGAAUUAACAAAAUGGGAGACCUAAAGGGAUAUGCUUAGUUUGCCAUUUUUCCCCCAGCUGGUAGAAUCUGGUAUAUCGUUUCUAAUAUAACAUUGUUUGAAUAUUGCUCUCUGUUUUAGUUUGCUUUUAGUUUCUUUGAGGAAAUAAUUCUAAGGCUUGCUUUCUGUUCCUGUUGCUGUGUCUUUCAGCAGUGUCUAACUGGUUGACUUACGAGAGGAAAAAGUGCUGUGAAAUACAGUGCAUAGAUAAUCAAAAGCAGUAAGGCUUUUUUUGCAUUUGUUCCCUGCUAACUACUUCUUGUGAUUAUUUAUAACAAUGUGAAAACUGUAUCUAUCUGCACAAAUCCUAAGAAGACACACCUGAUUUAGUUGUGCAUAUGAAGAAGGGGAAAUACACAGAAUAUUUCCCUUUUUAGUUCGUGAUUGAAAUCCAUUGUGCAUUGUUGUUCUACUGUUAGUAAUGCAUAGACAGAAGAGCGGGCUGUCACCAACAACGUUUCCUUGGUUUGUAUUUCAGAGGGUAAACAUGUAGAACGUAUAUUUAUGGAUACGUAUGUGCACAGAUGAGUGUACACUGGUUGUAAUGUGUAGUGAUAUAGUAAAGCCCCUGAUAGAGUGAAGCAAAGGGAAAUCCCUAGCAGUAUUACAAUGUGUAGGUUGUGUUUACAGUCGGAGUAAAACUCUUUUAAUCUGUGAAAUGAGCACUUGUUUGUAGGAACACAAAAUACAGUGUGAACACUGUCACCAUAAUUUCUAGGGGAAGUGAUGAAUUGUACUUAAGAGGCUGUAGGACACACGGCAUGUGAAGGAGAUAACCAGAACACAGCUGGCCUUGAGAGUCUGAUUAAAAGGCAUAAAACUUCUUUCUUUAUAGAAGCAAAGCAGUUUGGGUUGAUAGGCUUGAUGGUGGAAGCUAAGUAUUGAUUAUCUUUUUUUAAUUUAUUAUUUAUAAUUUGGGAAGUUGUUGUUUAUUUUACUCUACGUCAGCUUUCAAAAAUACUAUUCAUAAAAGAUAAUAGAGCAAUGUCUGGAAUAUGGAUUUACAGAAUGUUUUAUCCAUAGUAGGAAAAAAAUAUGUACAAAAAAAAGAAAAUGGAUUCCAUUUUGGUCUGUUCAACUUGAUGUUGUGUGUUUAAGAAAACAGUCUAUUCUUGGGAGCUCAAUUUGUACUGAUAAUCAUAAAAAUGAUUUUGAGGAGGCAAAGAAUGUGUCAGAAGCAUUUUCUGGAAAACGUAAUUAGCAAGACUAAAUACCACUUCUCCCUUAAAAAUCAAAUCACAGCAAAGCACCCUGCAGAGAGAACUGUUUGUAGACAACUGCCGGAGUCCAGGCAGGGAAUAUACAGAUGUCUGUCUGAAUGGGGACAGAUGUAGUUAAGUUCACACAUAUCUUUAUUGUGUGAACAACAUUUUUUUUUAAAUUCACGUGUGUGUUUUCAGUGCAGUGCUUUGAAGAAUAACAAAUGUUUUGCCUAUUCAGUACCUGCAGUAGAAGGUACUUGAGUAAAAAAUGUGUAAUAAAUUGUGUCUUAGAACUCAGGGUCCUGAUAUACUUCCUUUGACUUGAAAGACACAGUGAGGCUAAUUGUGAAUUGUUUGGAUCUGUUGUAAGCUGCAUCAAAUUUCUUUUUUAGGUGUUUUGGCAAAUAACAACGGGAGCUGCUACUUAGAGUAUUUUAUUAAUGCUAUUUAUGUCCUCAGGAGUGCAGAACCAUGAGAAAAAGAAGUAUGAGUGAAGUUAUAUUUUGCUGGUUUAGCGUUAUUUAAAUAUUUUCCUUUAAGAUAGUAAGUCCAACCUGAUUGUUUUUUAAUGGGCCAUACCUUAAGAAAGAUUGAGAGAAUAUGUGAAUAACACAGCAACCAGAGUUCACUGACGAUAUGUUGAAAAGCUGUGUUUCCUUAACAAAAGUGUAAGCGUAUCAUUAUUUGAAAUUUGAAAGUUGUAAAGUUUGAAAAAUACUAAAAACCAGAUCUGCUUCCAUCAUGGGUGUGCUUUGCUUCUUAAUUAAAAGAUAUUUUACCAAAGACAUUUGCAGGCUUUUUCACUGUUGGUUUUCAUUCCACUUCUGCCAGCACUUUUUUUUUUUUUUUUAACAUCUCUCACACAGGAGGAAUGAGAAAAUGCAUUUCUAUCUAACAUUCUGAAGAGGUAUAAAGAUCUGAAGAUAGAAAACACCAUUAUUAUGAUGUUUUAGGUGUAGUUCCAGUUUCCUGAAACUAAAAGUACCUUCACAACAACUUUGUAAUAGAGGCAGGUUUAUUUUUGCUUGGAUGUUUGGAGUGAUUACAUACAUAGCAACCAUUUUUGUCUCUACAAUUGGAUUUUGCAGCUCAGUGAUGUAUUAUUAAAUGCAUUGAGCAGUUAUGAUACAACCUCUGAACAGCUCUGAAAGGGAGCUUGGGAUUACUCCUAGUUAACAAGACGUAGUGUAGAAGGUAGGUGUUUUUUUCCCAACAGUUGAUUUCUUGCAUGGGAUGCAGCAGGAUUUCUUUACUUCAGAUACUUGUGCCUGAAUCUUCUAGCAGUGAGAAAACAGUUUAUGAAAACCUGAAUGUGUAAAUUGCAUAUUCCUUGCAGAGAUCAUCAGAAUAUUUUAUUCUUUAUAUAAAAGUCUAAUGUUGUUCUGGAGAGAAGAGGAUUCAUGGUUACCAACUCAUAUGGAUUCUUCAUUGAUUUUAUUAAAUAGUGGAUUGGACAAUUAAUGUGUCAAGAUUGUACAGCAUAAGUAUUUUGAGGCUUUCGACAGCUGUGUUGCGUGCUCAACUGACUCAGACAUAAGAAUCGAAAGAUUUUUGCUUUUCUUACAGUCCUCUUGUCAGUGUGAAAGUGCAUGAGCUAUGCUGUUCUUGAGUACUAAUGUGGGUAUUCUUCCAUAAAGGAGAGUUCAUGUUACAGUUAUAGUGAGAAUUUGGAAUUCAGGAAUUGACAUUUUUUCAGUUUUUUAAGCAAUGAUUUUUUAUUUUUAUUUUUUUAGCAGCAUGUCACUAAAAACAUAUCUUACAAGAGAAAAUUAAGUGAGAUUCAGACUUAUGCCUGAAUAUAACCUGAGCUCUAACUGUUAAGCUUAAGAAGCUCUUGUAGAUUAGACCUUAUCUUAAAAUUGCCUUCACUUAGUUCCAUCUUGUAUGGAGUCAAUUAUGAUGAGUUGGGAUGUUAUCUUUAAUAGCUGAGUGGAAUUUUCAAAUAUAUCACUACUUAAGUUUUACAGUGCUUAAGUUUCUGGAGGUGUGGAGAAUAAAAGUAAUUCUGAACAAAAUUAUUAUUAUUUUUUGUUUUAGGUUCACUGAUAAGAUGCAAACCAGAAUCUGCCUGUUGGUUAUCUUUCCAGACAUGUUUCAGAGCUAAUAAGGGAGACUGACGAGUACCAUGACUUCAAACAGAAGCAUUUUGGUAAGUUAGUCACCUAAGUCCAUUAGGAGAUGGGAACAUGGUCCUUUGCAUGAGCAGAUUUUUUUUCUGCUCCUUCAUUGUAAAAGUGUACUUUUUUUUAGAAACGUUGCUAAAAACACAGGCCAUAUACAUUUUGUAAAAUGUUCAUGCUGUCAGAAAACUUGAGAAUAAAAACCAGCACAUUCCUGCAAGAUAGCAUAGAAUCAUUAAGGUUGAAACGACCACUAAGAUCACCUAGUCCAACUGUCAACCCAUCACCAUAAACCAUGUCACUCAGUGCAACGUCUGCUCUUGAAAACCUCCAGGGAUGGUGACGGUGACUCCCACCUCCCUGGGCAGCCUGUUCCAAUACCUCACCACUCUUUUUGAGAAAUUUUUCCUAAUAUCCAACCUGAACCUCCCCUGACUCAACUUAAAGCCGUUACCCCUUGUCCUAUCGCUAGUCGCCUUUGAGAAGAGGCUAACCCCCACCUUACUACAGUCUUUCAGGUAGUUGUAGAGAGAAAUAACAUCUUCCCUGAGCUUCCUCUUCUCCAAACUGCAACAGUCCCAGUUCCCUCAGGUGCUUCUCAUAAGGCCUGUGCUCCAGACCCCUCACCAGCUUCGUUGCCCUUCUCUGAACACACUCCAGGGCUUCAGUGUCUUUCUUCUAUUGAGGGGCCCAGAACUGAGUGCAGUACUCGAGAUGCAGCCUCACCAGUACUGAGUACAGAGUUAUACUUAAUUAGAACAUCCUAAACUUCUAGAAAACUUCAUAGCCUUUCAGGAUUGUGUUCUGGUUUUGGUCAAAUGAAACACAGUGCUCUUUGUAUCUAUGAAGGUUCCGCAUUCUUUCAGAAUUAAUUAUUUGAUGUUUCUGUUACAUCUUUCUUGGUAAGCCUAUAUUCCUCUGCAUGUCAGGAAGAAUAGUCUUAUAUUCAAACUCUACUGAAUAACAUCAUCUGCUUCAGGAGUUUCUCAUUGCAUUCAUAACUAGGUAUUGGCUGCAUUGCAGCAAAAUUUAAAUAAAGCUAGUUCCACAACACACACCUAAUAUGUAUGUAUUCACUGUCUAAAUAUGCUUUACAGGCUCUUGAUCUCCUUCCUGAACUCUUAAAAGCUUAAUUUUUAAUGUGGUAACCAUCUGGUUUUUAAUUCUUUUAGUUCUUAAGUGUACUAGUACUCUCAUUCUAGCAUGUACAGUUCCCUUAUACCUCAGGGAUGGUUUGAUUGUGUUAAUAUAGCUAACAGUAUAGCUUGACUUUAUUAAAGCCUACUAAUGCGUUUAAAAGGGAUGGAGAGGUCACACAGUUUUCCCUUUACACUAGUUCUGAUCAGUAUUUUUACGUACUUACAUUAAUGUAUGUUACAUAGUAUAAACACAGGUGAUUAAAAGAAAAAGCUAUGCCACUUUUAUGUCACUGGAAGGUAGGGUGCAAGUAUGUAGUCUGCAUAUGAACAUGUAGAUAUCACCCAAAGAUAAAUCGAGUAUUAGGUAGGGCAAAAUAGCCCUAUCUAAGAAACACUUGGAUAAAUUCUUCCUUACUUUUCCUCUAUGCAGAACUCUUGUACAAAUAUCUACUCGCCCCAUCCUUUUCCAGAAUUUCUCUUUGUCUCCUGUUUUGAUAACUGCUACACUUCAUUGGUGUUCUUUACCCACACAGGGCCCAAAUAGCAAGUGGAGACUUCUGAUUAAUGAUUACAUCUUACUACUGACUUUUUUAUAAAAGCAGUAAAGAGCAGAUUAUGUCUAGCAUUGUACCAUUACUAAGGCAUGAGAGUUUCUUCCUACAAUUCCUAGCCUUCUUGAUUUUGUUUUAGUCAGGCUGUUCCCUAACUUACUCUAAUGGACAUUAGGUAUCCUCUGAACUGCUGUGCACACGUAGUUCCUUGCCUGUACAUGCUUUAUCUGUCUAGAGCCAUGGAAAGCAUCUUAUGCGCCUUAAAAUUAUGCUUCUUGGCAGUUGGGAGAGCAUACCUGACAUGCCAUAAUCUAGGAUGCAAGCAGUAGAACAGAGACUAGCUAAGAAGAGGGAUUUCCAAAAUAUUGGUGUAUUUCUCGUGGUUCACACAUGAGAAAAAGACGUUUGAGAAAUGCAUCCAAUGCAAAUACGGAGCCUGGGUUAGAAUUGGAAGCAUCUGUAAUCCCUGUCUCAGUGAGGCACAGCUGUAGUAGCACAAUGAGUACUACUCUGUAGCACAGUGAGGUAGAGCUGUAGCUCUAUUUCUGUAAGGGUACCUCUGCAGCAAAAUAAAUAGGGCAACUCCUGAUCUAAGGUAUUACUUAUUCUAUCAUCAUGAUGCUCUUCUGACAGCCACACAUGAACAUUACAUUACUAGUGCAUCAGAAAAAAGGUCAUAGUUGCUUGAAUAAAUAACAUUGGUAUUUUGCAAAUGAGCAAUUAAGUUAUGAAGCUUAUUUUCGUAUCGCAGCUGGCAUUGAUCCCGCUUUGCAUUAUUUAACACCUAACACUCCAGAGUGAAUUCUUUUUGUCAAGUGUGCAGUGUAGCUUUGUUGUGGUAACAUCUCUCAUGACCUCCUCAAGCAUGGGCAGAGCUGGUAGGAGUAAAGUUCUGCACUUAAUUACCAUGUAGAUAGCUCGGUUGUCUUCACAGCCUCUCUCUUUGCUCGCUCCCUUCCUCUCUUGCACCAUUCCUUCGGCAGCAGUUUUCUCUGAUUCCUGGCACAGAAGCGUGGUGUCAGUGCAAUGCGUGCCCUCUGCAGUAGCUGAUUUCUGUCCCAGCUGGCUUUUUCAAGACUCUGGAAACAAUUUCUGCCUUCUUUACCUCCUCAUUCGUAUCUCCAAAGUAGGACGCUACAUGAAAUAAUUGGCUUGACAGAGGUCCCAUUACAGAAGUCACCAUGGUAGAGAGUGGUAAGCCUAGCCUCUGAAGGGAUAAGAACUAGUCAAGAAGUGAUAAUGUCCCUUUAUACUGCAGUUUAUCAGAAGGGAUUCCAGGAGGGAAAAAGUUAAAAAAGAAGUCUUGUGAAACUCAGAAUUUGUUUUUUAAAAUGCAUGAGUCAGUGUUUACUGUAAAAUUCUUUUUUUUUUUUUUUUUACUACAGACCGAACAAGGAAGGAAACAAAACAUUUGAGCUCUCUGUGUAAAGGCAGCUACUUUCUCUGUGCCUUUUUCUUUCCUCUGUUUAAUUCCCGGUACCCUAGAGAUACAGUUUCCUCCCUUAGCAGGGACUGUGACCUUAAAAAUAGCCAGUUCCAAAAUAAACACAGCCAAAAAAGAAAAAAAAAACCCGACACUUCAAUUGUUUCACAUAUAUGGUAAGUAAUCAAAACUGCAUCCUUGCUAAAGCUGAAAUUCAUAAACUUUUGAAGCUUUUGUUUCUCUGAGACUUUUGUUUCUCUGAGAAAUCCAUUAAAACCUUGGGUGCCCUUUGCCAAUGGUUUGUCUCUGUCCUUACCACUGUGGCAGAGUUUCCAGAGGACAUGGUUUGUCAUUGGCUCAGUGGAGGGUGCGCUCACAUCACACAGGAAAGGGGUGAUCCCAAGGCCUCCUCACGGACACCUCUAUAUGGGUUUGUCUCCUGCUGGAAGGCAUCACUGCUGCUCAGGGCCAACUCUUCAAACAGAAAGUUUUUCCUAUCGCUUUUGCUUCUAGUUUUAAAGCGCUAUUCUGUGUUGCAUGAAAGAGGAGGUGGUCCCGCCCAGGUUCCGUGUCUGGAUUUAGGCUUUGGUAGCCACUCUGUCCAGGCAGACUUCUGGGCUGUCUCACUGCCGCCACUUCCUUCACUUCUAUCUGCAAUUGGACCAGAGUUCACAGUUUAUACAAAAGCCUUUUCCAGGGAAGGAAAUUAUCUAGUGGGUGAAAAAGCCUUUCCCAGCUCUGUUGUUAAGGGCUGUACUGAUCAUUCAGGAGCCUUCCAGUGCUGUGCAAUUGAUAAGGACAGAAGGAUAGGAGAAAGGACAUUCAAGUGCACCAAAUAAAUCCCCUCUGACAAACAAGAAUAAUAUUCUCCAUGUCUGGACAGUGAGCUGUUGUCCUUAUGCUCUUGCAUGGAUAAGUUAGUCAGGUCUUACAAAUGCAGCUCAGUGAGAAGUGUCUUCUAUCUUUGUUAAGAAAGGCCUGUUUAAAACCAGUGGAAAUUCAAGAGUAACGGGCUCUUGGAUCUUCAAAAACAUUUCAUAUACUUCUUCCACAAACACCAGGUAGUACUUGUGCAGACUGUCACAAGAUGCAAGCAUUCCCUCUGCUUUUCAAGACCCAAAUUCAUAGUGCAGGAGUGAGUUUUCUACCUCUUCCCACAUGAAUAUGCCAAAUCUGUGUAGCGCAGAAAAUACUUGGGCACUCGAGUACUUUCCUCUGAAUAUAGUCUUAAAUCUUUAAUUUAAUUAGAAAAAAAAGCGCUAAAGCAUUUUGAAGCCUGAGAGCAAGACUAUGAAACUUUUCUGAUUAACGCAGACAGCUUGGUUCUUUCAGGUGUAGGAGAAAGAGAAACAGCCAGCAAAUGAGCAGGGGGAAGUAGCAAACGAACAUUUUGUGUACUUUUCCAUCUAAGAUGUAAUAGUUUCUGAAGGUUUUUUAAUCCAUCAUGUUAGCCUAAUCCCCAGGGAGCUCAUUUUGAAAUUAAAUAUACCAAAGCAUUUAUGAUUUACAAAGAGGGAAAAAAUACAAGCCUUAAAAAAUAUCAUGUGUUUGAUCUGUUUGUCGCUAUGAAAAUAUUGACAAAAGGCAAAAGAAUGGCCUUCAUUUAGAUUAUUAUUGUUGGCUUGCUUUAUUGCUUUCUUACUAAGGGCAAACUCCCAUUUAGAUGUGAGAUUAACUCUUUCACUAUUGCGAAGAAAUAAGAAACUAAAAAUUUGAAUAUAGAACUCAUGCAAGUAACAGUUCUAACCCGAGUAAUUUGUAUGUGAUUCCUACUCAGAAAUGUGUGACGUAUCAGAAGGAACCUUUGAAAAGUUAAAAAUGUAUAUGAAAUAGAUUAUGCAGUGUGUAUGCUUCAAAGUAUCUUUAAAACGCAGCCUGCUCUGUAAACUUAGAAACAUGGUGUUAAUUACACAGUCAUCAAAGUAGUUAAGAAAAUAAAUGCUUUAUAGGGAAAAAGAAGAGGAAUAUUAAAAGUCUUAUGUACUCUGAGUCUGCAUCUGUACAAUAAGGAUCUGUCUGCACUGAAGAGGUAGUUAACUGCAGACCCAGCUCAGCUGUUACUGGUAACUUCAGUCACCCACAAAGCCAUCUAGUUUUUUGGGUAGUGCUUUUCACUUGAGUCAGCCAAUCCAUUGGUUUCGGGAGCCUGAUUUGAAGAACAAGUGCUGCUGAUAUUUAAAUGGGUAAUGCAAUAGAGAAGUGGCAAGAGACUUGAAACUUGAGUUAACACAGUGUAUCAGCUGCUAAUCCAGUCAUGCUGUGCCACUAAUCAAAUCAUUCUGGUAGUCCAAGCACUGUUUUUCAGUGGAGUCACUGUCGCACAAGUAAGAACUAGGUUGAAGUCUGUGCCAAAAAUGUGUCGUAGCAAAACUUAACCAAACCAAGGUCUGGCUGGCCAGUCUGGGUCUCAGAAUUUGUCUGCAUGUUAGCAGUGUGAGGGAUCAGUUUCUAAGGCAGAUAAUCCAGUUCCUCGCACACACCAUGCAGUGGCUAUGCUGCUGCUGUUACUACCCAUUCUUGUUAGUUCAAACCCCACUCAAAUAGCUUAAAACUCAUUAAGGUUAGAAGGAGAAUGAUAACCUAGCUCUGCAUUAGUAAUGUGAUGCCUGAUGUUGCAAGGGCGGCAAACUUGAAGUUUAAGCUAUCUGUUGUUGCAUUACAGAGAGACAGAUACAGAUGGUACACUGCCAUCCCAAAAUUGCUGAAAGAAAUUGCUAGUUUGAACUAUUUAUUCAAUUAAAUUCCCUCUGAACUAACAUUAACAAGAAAACUAACUGUGUUGUUAUCACUUAAGUAUCUGAAGAAGCCUGUUGGCCAGAAUGUCAUAUGAACAGGAAUGUCUGCUGGGAUAUUUAAUUUCAUCUCCCUUGACAGUGUGUAGUUGUUCUCUUUUAUACGUUCUCUAUUAACUGUUAGUGAGCUGUGUAACCUUGUAGAAUAGGAAGCAGUCACUCCAGGCCGGCACAAAGCACACAGAAAUCCAUAUCUGAAGAAGAUGCCUACAGAAUUUCUAGAGUUAGCAUAUCAGUCCAAUGAACCAAGAUGUUCCCAAUUUCCUUCUCAUAAUUUCCCACCAGGUUGUUGUUUUUUUUUCUUCACUGACCAAUACUCUUCCUUGUCACUGCAACUGAAAGUAAUCUUUAGGACUGUUUCUUACCCUGUGAGGACCUCUUCCUGCAAACAUACAUCUCCUUUACCUCAUCUGCACAGACUGGUUUGAAGGCUGCUUGCUCAGAUGUACAGAAACAACUCUCUCUUGACACUUCAUGAACCUUUCAUCACUACCUCACAUCUGAAUUUAACUCAUGCCUUGUACAGAAAUCUUGAAUCUUGGGGAGUAGUAGGAAGUGUAGUAAAGCUUAUAAUAAGCAGUAAGCUUGUCUUUGGAGUUGUGGGCCAGAAACACCACUUCCAUGCAAAAUGCAUUCACUGUACAGAUAUCUCAUGUCUUGUGUUGGGUUUUGUUUUGUUUUUUUUUUCUUUUUUUGUCAACUUCUUUGUUUGCUGUAUUUUGUGUCUUUGGAGUUGAGGAAUAGAUUUUUCUCGGGAGCCUGCAGUACUUAAAAUAUAGGGGGACGUUGCUUUAUUAAAACAAUCAUUUCAGUUGUCAUGGCAACUGGUUUUACAUAAAUGAUGAAGAGGAAGUGAUCAAGGGAUACAUUUGGUCAUAAUGGUGAAUCCACUGCUUUUUAUAUGAACGAGAAAGUACUCCGGAGUUUCUUCUUGCAAUAGUUCAUUUUAUUCGAGAUUAUUUUUUUACAGCUUAAUAUUAUCCAAGUUCACAGUCAAAAAAUACAGCACUUGUAUACUCACCACAGUAUCUGUUUCUCUCAUCUGUGUAACUAUUAAGCUCCUCCACUAGAAAAUUAUCAGAUACGGAUGCAGAACAGCAUCUGAAAAAAACAGACACUGUACUUCAUAAUUGCCUGCAGAAUACUUUCCUGCCCUCCUCCAAAACUUCACUCAGUCAAAUAGUCGGUAACUGCAGCAUGAGGGAGAAUGGAGUAGUGGCUGCCGAGGAGAUCUGUUUGAAACACUUUGUUAGAAAUAGUUAAUUUUCUCACAACUGUGCUGUGUUGAAGGAUAACUGGAGAACAAGGAGCAUUCUGGGGGACGUUUUUCUAGAAUCAGCAUAUGUAAUUUCCAGCAUUCACAAGUGGUUAAGAAGUAGUUCACUACAGAAGACCAAAAACCAAUGCUGACAACAUUUAGAAUUUUUUCUUUCUCUAGGGAUUUAACAGUAGAAUCAAAUUUAAACAAUAUUAGUGUUUUUCACUGCUAAAAACAUUUACAGUACUUAAAAAAAUGUAUUAAAGAUAUACAAUAUAUUAUAAUUAACAUCCUUUGCCUUUUUAACCCUAUUACCUGGUUUUCAGUAUGAUUUUUAAACCCCUCUCCAAAUUUUUGCCUCUUGUUUUAUUAAUCUUUAUAUUGCAAACACCCUACAGGAUACGAUUGUUCCUAUUCUAACAUACGGCAAAACAAAGUUGAUAGGUUAUAUGGCUGUAGACCACUGCUGACCAUGUAAAUGGUAUUCUUCCACACUCUCCUGCCCCCUCUGGCAUAUACUCUGGCUUUUAUUGCAAACACAAGACUCAUGCUGCUCAAAGUUCAGCAUCAGCUUGCUGUCACAGAGAUUCACAGUGCCGUGAGCUAGUAUGAUACAUCUCAUGGAGGUACUGGAAGUGACUCCAAGCCAUUUGUUUCAUCAGCGCUGAAAACUUGCAGAUAUAGAGGAGACAGGUGAAAAGUGCCAUUCUAAGAGAAAUACUGCUUCAGUGUGACUGUUUGGCCUUUUUAACUGGCAUUGCGCUACUUUAAGGGCUAGCACCAACUUCUCUUUCAUUUUCUCCUGUUUGUCAAAAGUAAGUGUUGGUAACCCUGGGGGAGAGGCUGUAAUACAGCAGAUUUUCCUGUGGGGACAGCACUGAGUAACUUCAGAAAUACAUGAGCAGUUGCAAGAAAAGUAGCGGGCAGGGAAGUUAAGAAGUACUCUGCAGUCUAUUCUCAGGUUCCUUACUUAGAUAUGUCAAAAGUGUCAUGCAAGCAUGCCUCCAUCAUACCUCCCAUGUUUUUAUUUAAGUGAAAGCUGAACAGCAGAGUGUGGAAACUUUUGGUUUCUUGAGUCUCAGCAGGUAAAGCUCAGUGUAUUCAUUUCCCAGGAGAUCAUGCAAAUGGUGUUUUUUUUUUUUUUCUUAAUCUUUGUCUUGCUUUGUUUAAGUUUGCAGCUACUGGAUUCUGCUUUAAGUCUCAAGUUUAAAAGAACCCAGACGCUCUUGGUAAAAUAUCAGAGAAACCACUGAAUUUCACCUGCCUUUGCAAGGAAAUCUUGUGAAACCACGAGUUUUCCACACUGCCAGUGUGAAACCCUGUGUUAACUCAGAGCUUCUUUUACCUCAGAUCCUCUGAAGGGUCACAGCCCUUAGGGAACAUCUUCCUCAACUUUGGCCUGUUUUCAAAGUUCGUAAUAAAACUCAGAAUUCUUUCCGUGAUUGGAGGAGUUUGUAACAAAAGCAGAGUGCAACUGUAAUCCAUGUAGCUUUUCAAUCAGUGGUUUUAGAGGUGUUUCAUAACCUUUGAACAUAGCACAUAUGUAGGAAGCUUGUCAGGCACGCCUGUUUUGGCAGGUCUGUUUGUGUUUUGAAGGAGCUGUCCCACCUGUUGUCACAGCAGUGUGGCAGAUUGCUGGCCCCACCACAAAGAUACGGGACACUGCAAAAUAAAUGUCUCGGGGAAAUAACAUCUCCCAUAAAACACAGAGAGCUAUAUUGUGCUGUAAGAUUCAGCCUUCCCUGGCGUACCGAGGAGGUUGCAAGCAGCUGGUCUCUUCAGAUGCAUCUCUCUCUGAGCUGGCUGCAGCAGCAUUAGCAGUGGGACCUCCACCACAUGUUAACAGCAUUGCACAUAUGUCCAGCCAGAAUGGCUCUGGCUCAGCAGAGGGGGCAGGCUGCGGUAAUAGUUCUCCUUUUGUACUCCUACAUACACUGCAGGUUCAGCCAGUCCAAACAAAUCUCCUUUCACUUGCUGUGUCUCUCUUAGGGUUCAGUGUAUAGGCUGGAAAUCUCUCUCAUGUAAAGACACAGAGAGAAACAGUGUUAGUGGUUGAUCUGUUACUGUCCUAGGUAAACUAUAGGCUAAAUUUUACCCUUUUCUGAGAACAUUUGACCCUCUGAUUCUGGAGCUGUCUCAUUUUCUUUCAGUGCAGCCAGGCACACCAGCUUCCUCUCAUUUGCCACUAAGAUACAAAGUUUUGAAGUCAGCCACUCUGCCUCCUGCACCUACACCUGGUGAACAAGCUUUCAGCUUUUGAGAGCCAGCCACUUCUUCCCAUUCCUCUGACCUCACUCUUUGCCUAUUUCACAGCUUGGUCUGUUGAAUUGAAGUAAUGAUGUCAUGCUGGAUUGCAAGCAUUGGUAUGAGAAGCAGAAAGAGAGAUGUGCUGCUUUAGCCUUGCUUCUUCUGUCAGUAUACCCAUGUAACAUCUAUAAAAUUAAGUCUUACCUGUUUUGUUGGGUUUUUUGGUUUUUUUUUUUUUUUUUUUUUUGGUCAUCUACUACAAAUACCUCAAAGUCAUAAAUGCACUAAAAUUAAUAAUGAUUGUUUUUUAAUUUUGUGAUUCCAGAGUGGUGGGUUUUUUUUAAUUGUAUCCUCAUUUUCAAACAUAACAUUAGCCCAGUCUCUUAGCUAAUGUUAUAUAAUAAUAAUAAUAAUUUUAAAAAAAGUAAGCAAAAUCCCCUCAGCCAUAUUUGAUUUAUAGGGGGAUGACAAAAACACAGUUUUUAAUGAUGGCUGCUCUGAAAGUAUUGCCUUCUCUUUUAUUAUAUUGGCCCACGACAUCAGAGGCAGAUGUUGAUGGCAUGGUAGCAGAGGUUGAGCCAUCCCACCACUGUUCCAUUAAAUUUUGUUGCCAUGUGACAGAUGGCAGCAGAGGGGCAGUCUGACAAAAUGACGUCUAAUGUCUGAAAUGGAAGUGUAUAUAAAGCAAAGCUGUGUUGUUGAAUUCCUCCAUGCAGAAAAAAAAAUGGCAUCCAUUGAUAUUCACUGAUGCUUGCUUAACAUUUAUGGAGACCAAACAGUGGAUGUGAGCACAGUGAGGCAGCGGGUGGUGCCUUUCAGCACUGGUGACAGCAACAUGGAAGACAAGCUAUGUUCCAGACAGCCAUGCACAGCUGUCAGACCAUGAAAUGAAGAGUGUCCAGAUCAGCUCAUCUGUGACUAUGUUGAAAAACAGUUUUGUAGCUGGUAAUUUUCUCUGUCAGUGUAACUGUGUUCUUUGUAUCCAUUGUCAUUUCCAUGGAAAUAAAUAGAACUUUUGUAGCAACCUAUAUAUUUUUAAAAGUUACUGUGAGAGUUUUUUGUCGUUGUUGUUGUUUGGUUUGGUUUAGGUUUUUAUUUGUUUGUUUUGCAGAGGGAACAGUGUAAGAAUGCCAGAGUCUUGAAACCUAACAUUUGGCAGGUGCUUAACUCUUUAUUAGGAAGCAUGUGCUUUGAAGUUUUUUCCUAAAGAUCUGCAUAUCUGCCUCUUAGGAUGCAUGAGUUGUUAAUAAUUCUAGGAAUAAUGUGAUAGGCAUGCAAUUUAGAAAGGAAUAUUAAGUGCCUAUUAAAACUUGGAUUUUUUUGCUUUUAUUAUCCACAGUGUUACUUUUUUCCAGUUUUUGCUGCUCCUAGCUUAUUGCACGUUGAAAUUAAAAGGUAUCUGCAGAGAUAGAUUCCCCUUUUUAAAUGCUCAUUUGCUGCUUUUGGUGAAAGUACUUUAAAUGCUGUGCUGAACAUUGUAAAGUUCUUGGAGCUGUAAUAGAAAACACUAGUUUCUGGACUUUCAAGGGAAGAAUGUGGUUAGGAUUAUAGCGACUGAGUCACUGUCAAUGGGUGGUCUUGAUUCCAUGCGGUGCAUAGUAGAUAGGGGGACAGAUGAGCCUUUGCUUCAGUAGGUGAAGAGCUGUACUUAAGUUUAAAAAGGGCCAUGCCGGACUAUAUUUUACUCACAGGGGGGUUAAAUAUGGUCAGAUUGCAUCUCAGUAUGGCUUUGUUUCAACUUUUCUGCAAAGUUAGAUAAAGGAUUUGCUUAAAAGCUCGGUAGCUGUAAUGUUACGUGCUCCUUUUGGCUCUUCAAAUUGCUUCUUUUCAUUCAGUGCAUUUCCAUUGUUCCGUUAGCUUUUAAUGAGACAGUUACAAAAUGUCUGCCUCACUCUGACCGCCAUUUUGUAGCCUGAUUGUUGGAUAAUGAAGACUGUGAGAAAUAGAAAAUAAACAGCAUGGCAUAGAGGAGAUUUCAAAAGGAGUACAAACUCUGCAUGUUUUAUUUAGAUGCUUAAUUGUUGCCGACUGGCUGCAUUUAAACAAGUGACUUUACAGUGUCUGGAAGAAGACCAGCUCCCGAAUUCGAGGAGCUGACCUUGGGUAGAUGCCAUCAACUGUUCUUUUCUAUUGGCAAGAACGUGCUGCUGGCAGGAUCUCCCUGUAGCUGCAGUCGCUAACCCAGCUCUGAAUCAGAACCUGCGUGCAUUGCACUAGGCCACCAAUUUAUGCUAUUUAUUCUGAGUAUUAUUCGCAGCCCCUUCAAUGACAGAGAUUUGAUCUACAGUAUAUAGGAUGUUUAAAAAUAAGAACCUUUGAAAUCACUAUAAUUAAGCUUCUCCCAUAGAGCAACCGAUGUUGUUCAGAAAAAAAAGGGAGGAAGGGAGGCUCCAAGUUUGCUGAAAGCAAACUGAAAAUGUACUACAGGAAUUGAAGGGAUACUGUGGAAUUGUUAUUGUGGUCCUAUGGAUGGGUUGCUAACUGAGGAGUGCAGUUAGUGGCAUUUGUUUAUUUCCUUUAUAAGAACUCUUUUUGUGUUUAGAAUGUAGGCAAGGGGGGAUGGGGAAGGACGCUUUACAUUCACAGUAGGGUGCAGAUUCAAAGCUGUUUAAAAUUCUGCCGUAUCUUAAUGAUAAUAGUUAAUCCUAGUAUCAGAACAGUACUUCUAUUUUUAAAAAGCAAUCAAUCAAUCAUUUUAAUACGUUGCACCCUUAGUGCCAAACACCUCAGAAAACGGUGUAUACAAUAGUGAAAAAGCAUAUGAAACUACUUCUAUAGAAUUAUUCUUCCUUUCUUCUUUACCCAUACUUGUACAGUAAGAUCUCAAAGCUGAUGGAAAAAUCUGGAAUUAUAUAAUGGAGUAAGUGCUUUUGAGCAAGACUAGUUGCCGUGUAAGGAACACAGUUAUAGACUGAGUGAGGAGGGGCAAAUAAAUUGCCACACCUGAUUGAAGAUCCCUCUAAAAAUAUAGUGUGUGCUGAGCUUUCUUGGGCACUGUUGGCUUGUAGGGUGGAAGAUGCAUACAGAUGCUUUACUUCAGGAUAAUUGCUUUGAAAAUUGCUUCUUCCCAUUUUCUUCUCAAGACAGCUUCCUAUGUCUACCAGACUCUUUCAGAAAGCUGUUCAUAUGGACGUCAUGCAGAUGUGGGUAAUUGUACAUAAAAGUUCAGUUUCUGCUGCUGCCACAGUGAUGCACACAAAAGCACAGUAGUUGCUUAUGCAUAUGUUCUUCACCUGCAAAAUAAGGAUUGAUAUUUCUUUAUCAUAAGUGUGUCUAAGUUAGUUGAAGCCCUUGCAGUGCGCUAGAAAUACACUUUUCACUGUCAUUAGUGAUAAAAAUGUUAACUACGUAACUCAGUAAUUGUAACAGUUGAAGAAGUCAUAGGACUUCUAUCUUUACAUGAGUAUGAAAGUAUCAGCUACAAAUUCCAGAGAAAGUACUUCUGUAACUACAUCACCUACAUUUUUAUUUAUGUAUAGAUGAUCUCAAAAGUUGGCAUUUUCUUCAGUUGCUCUCUGUCUGUGCUGACCCUCACCCACUGUAUUGAUCAAAGGCUUUGAUUUUUGUAGAUCAGCAAGAGACAGUGAUGUUUUUAGUCAUCAAACUGAUAGGACCAUUGCAUUGGACCAUCCUCCAUUUUUAUAGUGUUUCUUUAAUUGUUGUCUUGCAGAGAGUACUCCAUGUCAGCAGGCCUCUAUGUCUGCAGAAGUCAUUCCCAGUCUGUAUUAGUUCUCUUAGGUACUCCUACUAGAGCACCUCUGACACAUUCGGAUUUUUCUUACCUUUUUUUCUUUUAUUUCUGAAGAGCAAUUAUAGAUAGAGAAGAUAUCUAGAUGUUUUGUCUUUUUUUUUUUUUUUCCAUUUACAGUUAUCGUUUCUGCUCUGUUUUGUUUUGUUAUUUUCUUAAAUCAAUGUCAUGGCUUUAGUAUGCUUUGCACUAUCACUACAGGGAAUUUCUUAGGAAAUGUUAACUAUGUGCAUGUAUAACAGAAGUCAUGUCAUGGUAGCAACUGUAAUCAGUGUUUUCAUUUAUGUUUCACGUGCAUCUCAAUCAGCUUCCAUUUCAUAAAUCACUGUUUGAUUUUCGUCUGCCACUAUUUAGAUCUAUGUUCAUUGUCUGUGUCGAGCAGAAUGUAGAUCCGGUGACACUUGAAUCAGAUUUUACAUGGAUAUUGCUUUCAGUUUAGACAAACUUCUUUUUUCCUUUCUAUACUCUCUAAUUGCUCCUUUUUUGCAUGUUUUAUCCAAUGUGUAUUGCAGUUCUGGUGUACUUGCCAAAAUACUGCACUGAAGAUCAAAAGGUGGUUAUGCUAGGCUUUGAAGAAAGGCAUGUUGAACCUACUGCUGUCAGUGUCAAUAGCAGGGGCAGCGAAUGCACUGAGUUUGGAUGAAGCAGCUCUUCAGAAUCACGGACAAGGCAGCCCAGUUUGUGACUCCUAUACUGUCAUAGGUUGCAAGAUGUUGGCAGUUAUGAUUGUACAGGUGAAAGAGGAGUCCGAAACUUUGACCAUCUUUCAUAUUCUAGUAUGGGAAGGGCAUUCAGGUUUCUGCAGAAUCUCACUGUUUGACCCAUGUGCCGGAGAGCCAUUAAAACUGUGCUUUAAAUGCCGUUCUCUUUUGUGGGCCACCUAAUUCUAGUCAUGAUGUUUGAGAACUACUGAGUCAUUCUCUGCCCAAACUCAUUUCACAUGAAUUAUUAAUUAACUUCAAACAUGCUUGUUGCUCUGACAAUAAAGGGGGAAAGUUCUGAAAGAGAUUUUAGGUUUCAGUUGAAACAUGUCUUCUACAAAUAGGUAUUUGUGUCACAAAAAGUAACUGAAUGGUAAGCAAGUUUAUUUAAGGUGAAAUCAGUGACAAAAGAACAAAUGAACUGGAAUAAGAUCAUAGGUUACAGAGAUGAGACAUCUGGAUUUCUAGUCAAUUCUCUGAAGGUAUAACUAGGAGUUAAUAAGGCUUGUUUUCUUCUUACAAAAGGCCAGAUUUUUAACAUAGUGUCUCAAAUUAGCUUCCUUGGGGAUUAAUAAGUGUUUUUCCAUUAGUUCAAAAUAACCACCUUGGAACUACAAGGUAGUUUAUGACAGUACAUCUUAGCCUUAUGUGUUUAUAGCUGUAAUAGCAUAUUAUUGUGAUUUUUGUAUAUAAAGACAUCUUUCCUAGGGACAGCUGCCUCAGCAAGCAGAUAUGAGCAUUUAUGCUAAGACUUUUUUGAAACAUUUACUACUUUGAUAAUCCAUGUCUUAGGCAAUAUCUCAAAGGAUUUUUUUUAUUUUUUUUUUUAAGUAGCAAUAACAAGGGCUUACAUUUUGUGCUUGUUUGUGGCAGCAAGGAACUGGACUUGGUCCUUUAGGUCCCUUCCCAUUACAUGUUUAAUUUUAAUAGACAGCAAGCAUGUUCUGCUUCCUUGAGAUGUGUCUGCUAUGUUGACAUCUGGAAAGCAGCCAUGUGAGGUUCCACACAUAGUUUUUGCAAACACCAUUUGCUGGUGGAAUGAGCCAGAGCAGACACCUCUUUUGGCAGAACUUCAUUGCCAUCUAUUUUUAGUUGAACCCUAGUACAUCAAAUUACUGUGUGUAAGCCACCAGUAUGGCUUGAAGGCAGGCACUGAAAGAAGAAAGGCAGGCAUUUUGUCUGCACAGUACCCAAAGUGCUUGGCGGUAAGUUAUCCACACGUAUGUUCCAUGGACUACUUCCUUCUCAUUAAUAGAAUGUCAGAAACUGUAUUCCGUGUUGACAGAGAAACGGAGAGGUGAGAGGGUCUUGCUGUGUCAUUUCUGGAUUCUCGUGGCACAUUGGUGCACAUGGAAAUUUCAGAGGAAAAAUGUUGGCUAGAAUAUGCCCAUUCUGAAAUAACAGAACUUAUGUACUCAAACAGAGCACUCGAGAGUGCAUCCAGUAACUGAAUAGGUAAAUAACUCUAGUUUUGAGUCUCUCAGCUGACAUCUAUUAGCUUUCAAGUAAUUUGAGAAGGACUGAUGACUAUUAUUCUGUCCAAAGCAAGGGAACAGCCUAGACUUUUUUGCCCUGAAUGUUAAGGUGGCAGAAAGGAUGAUGUAGAUUCCCUGCAAAACUCUGCAGUCUCUGUACAAAAAUGCCUUUUUCAGAAGUUUGCAGGAAUAGCUAAUUUUUACUUAUGCUCUUUAUGCUUUUUUAAGUUACUGCACUUUUGCGUGUCAAAUAAAUUUAUAUACAUUUUUAGUCCAUACCUAAAUAUCUGUGGUAUAAAUGAAAGACCUGAUAGGCCUCUUAGUAGGGUACGUUGUAAGUAAAUGUUUUUAUUCCUCGUACAAUUCUAUGCUUUGUUUGCCUGAGUGGUAGAGGACAGACUUUAACAGUGGAGUGUCAGUCAAGUGAUUUUUUUUCUGAGCCUUUUAUGAGAAGAUGUUGGAUAUGAGAAGGCAGUGGCACUCAAAACUCGAGUUGUAUUUGAAUAUUUUAAGUCCUAUUUGUGCAAAAUUUAUUUGCCACAUAAUUGAAGCUUCAAAAGCUCCAUGAAAAAAUCUGAUCCUCUUUCUUAAACAAGCUUGGAUUUCUUUUGUAAUUGAUUAAUUUCUUUUUUUUUUUUUUUUUAACAUUAAGUAAAAACAGCUUGCAAGUUUUUCAAGAGUUUUCCAAGCAAUUCACUUGCACGGUGCUUGGACACUCAGCAGGUCUCUACAGAUCAACAGUGGCUAGGAAUGUAAGCUAGUGCCAGGUGAAUGGUCAGCUUUCAUUCCUUUCCCGUAGUUAAUGUCAAAGGGUCAAAGAUGAUCAGAUCGGUUUUUUAAACAAAAAAAGUAAAAAGGCUGCUAACAAUUCAGCCUCAGCUGUGUUAGGCUUCCUUUGGUGAUGUCUUUUUAAUUGGAUAUUUUUAUGUGAUUAUUUUCUUCUUGGAAUUACUUUAUGAAACUCAUUAAUUUAUAAAAAACUCAGGUAGAAAACCCCAAACAAAUGCCAGUAUUUGAAGCUCAUUACCAUAGUUUCCCCUUGAUAUUAGACAAUUCUUUUUCAUAAGAAGCAUUUUUUUUUUUUUUUGCUUCUACUCAUCAGGUCCCAGUUGUGAUAAUGUUUGUAGCUUGAAUAGAUGGAAUUUAGAUCUAGUCCGGUAUCCAGAUAUGGGUAUAAAACGUCAGAAAUUAGGAUGUGUGCUACACCAGUCUUCCUAUCUAUGCUUGUCAUUUUUGGAUCAUUCUGAGAGCAUUUGCUAUUAAGAGAAGAUAUAAAUGAAUUAUUUGUGUAUUUUUAUUUCCCACUGAAGCAAUCCCAUUUAUUAUGUUCCUGUCUUCCUCUAGAUAUUAUAAAAUAUCCCAUUUUCUUGCUUUGUCAUUCAUCAUGCACUGGGGAUAGUUGAAGUCGUGACAGCCCUGUUCAUGCUGCCUACUUUAAUGUUUUGUACUGGGUUGUGUUUACAUUAGAAGGAUCAUAGUUUUUCUUCUAUGAAUUACCGAGUAGGUGAGAGUUGUAAUUGUAAUUUGCAGCUUAGAUGAUUCAUUGGUCAUAGAAAGUGGUGUUCCCUUCUCAAAUGAAUGGGCGGCUUAUUUACAGUGCUCAGCAUUACCAUUGUCUUUCCACAGAUGACGAUUUGGGGUUUACUUUAUUUUUUAGCCAUUGGGGAUCAUUCUAGUAAAAAUUAUUGGUAAGCCACAAGCAAAAAUCUCAGGUUCCUGAUUUUCUACCAGCCUAACCUUUUGUACAGACAGUAUCAGCUCUCUUAGGAGUCAGAUUAGCGUGCUGCAAAAAGCACUGGACUAAAAUGUUAUUAAAGAAUCCAGCAAGUCUGAGAGACUUUUGUGCUGAAUCGUUGCAUUCACAAAUUCUCAUUCACUUGAAAAGUUUCUAUGAAAGUCUGUUUACAGCGGUAAUUAAAGUAUUGUGAAUUCAAAACGUGUCCUACCAGACAGGCUCAGUCAGCUUUCACUGAAGUAAGUCAGCACAGACAACUGUGCACUUCUUGCAUCCAGCAGCUUAAUUAGAGCAUGUUCUGGGUGGGAAGAAUUAUUGUACCCUACUAUAUCUAUGUACCAAUAUUCUUAGAACUCUACGGCAGACUCGCUAUGUCCCAAUUAAUCAUCCACAUUUUAUUUAAGUGUGUGUGGCCUUUUUGUUUGUUUUGAUGAAGGUGCUUUCUCUGUGCACUGUUGAUGCUGCAAGGCAUGGAAGUUAAGAAAUGUUUAUAUUAGCAUCUCCACAGCACCAUGAAAGACUGUAGAAAAUGUACAUUUUACAGCAUAACUGGUAUACAAAAGUGAUGCAUGUGCAGUAUGUGGGCAAGGAAAUAUUUGAACGUCAGUAGGAGAAGUUAAGCUUUGAGAUUUCUUAUGUUUUGUGUGUUUAAGUACUUGACUUCGACAUUGCCUGAAUUCUGAAUUUUUUUCAGUUUGUUUUUCUUCCUUCCAUGCUUGCUUUUUUAUUUUACAGACUGAUUUUCUGACCACAAUAAAGCAGACAGAAUUAUUUGAUGUUGAGAACCUUGUUAAUUUUAUGGCCCGUUUUCACGUGGAGAUCAGCUUUUAUUUCCCCCCUCACUCUUUAUUCUUGAUUCAAUUGUCAGUAAGGUUUGCUGAGCAAAAACACUGGAUGUAUUAUGGGAAGAAAUCUAAUCAAUGCAGCACCAAGGGACAGUCCUUCAGAAGCCUCCCUGGUGGCUGUGAGCCAGACUAGAGGUUACUAUGAGGUUACUCUGUCUGACUUUUACCAAAAUACCAGCUACUUCUGAAAGGGCUGCCGGCAGCCUUGUGCAUGUGUAACAGAAGCCUCAUUAAUAUAAGCUCCCAAUAUAUAUACACCUGUUAUGCUAGCCCCCAGCGCAGAGCCUGUGUUUCCUAUUUUAAACACUUUGCAUGUCUGUCUACAUUCCCUUCUGUCUGCAGUUGCUCUAGUGCGGUGCUGCAGAGCAGCUCAUAUGCAGUACCUCCAGGGAAUGCAGGAGGCUAAAUAAAGUUGUGGCAGAUGUCAGGGGGCUUUGCCAAACGCUAUUUUCCAAGUUAGAUAGUUUGAAAAAUUAACUGGCUAAUCCCAACUCUGUAAUACAGAAGUAACCUCAUUAGCGUGUAGCCUCAUUAAGUAUGCAUUUCUUUAACUGCUCCUUUAUCGGGUUUUGAUGAAGGAAAUUGCGCUGACAAACAUGUGGGAAAUCUUUAUUUGACUGGCAAAAUUCUGCUCCCAUCCUUGUCCCCAGGCCCCAGUGCUCUGUUCUGUGUGUGGAGUGUGACUCUUACAUUCUUUUAAGCAGUGCAGCAGUUCCUUAGGGCUGUUACCUGUUUUGGCUCUGAGUUCUAAGAAAUCACUUGACAGCAAAAUUACUCUAAGCUGAACUUUUCCUCUUUUAUAAAAUAUUUGUUCAGCACAUUCCAGAACAGGGGUUUCACUCAAGAAGUUACACAUAUUCUUUGUUAAAGACAGAAAGAAAGAAAGAAAAAAGGAUCAAAGCAGUAUCAGAUACAACUACUGAUUCAGCACAGGAACAAAAUCUUAGCAAACCCACCGAGCCGUGUUCUUUUCGGCUUGGUUUUCAUGACCAGUGCAUGGAGAAGCAUUCACAUCAGUACCUCUGACAGGCACUUGCCAUGUUUGGCAUAAAGGAGCAGUAAGUUUGCUUCACGUAGCUCUCAACAAAGGCCUAGUGGUCCCCCAGGCAGGGCCGGAGAUGCCACAAGGGGUGGUACUCUGGUGCUGUCACUCCAAAGCCACAAGAUACUGCUGGCCAUACUCAGGUUGGUCACAAGGACAUCCUCCUGGUGGUGGUUUGGCUCCUUUGUGUGGGGCCACGUUUCUGUAAGAAGACACAUCUGCCAUUACAGGUUUCAUGGUUCUAUUUACAGGGUGCGCUUGAUGUCUGCACUUAAUUUUUGUUUCCAAAGCCUCUUCCAUGCAAAAUUUCAGUGAGAUAUGAAUCCUAGAACUAGGAGGUAUCUAUGGCUAACAAUUUCUGCUGUGAAAUGUUCUCCACAGUGAACUGGAGAGGCACUGCAGGAUCUGGAUUAACUCUACUUCAGUUCUAGCACUUCUCCAUAUGCAGUGAUGGUCUUCUUGCUUGUAUUCUGUUGCAGCAUGUGGCUGUAAAUUAUUACAACCUAGCAAUUUUGAUAGGCAUUUUUAUUAAGCACAACUUGAGAGCACAGUGUUCUCAGUUAAAAAUUCUAAGAACUUAAGAAUUAGCAGCCUGGUUUAGACCAAAAGCCAGUCUGGCAGUCUAGGUCAGCACUUUCCUAAAAUGGGAUCAGUGGUGCCAUAUCAUGGAGAUCCUACCUGAGCACUGCCCACUGCAUUUUAGUAGGGUUUGUUUUUAGUAGGUUUUGGUUCAAGGACCAUUUUGAGCAUAAGCAACUAUUUGUUCAGAAUCCUACCUUAAGAUUACAAGUAUUAGUAAAACAUUUUAGGGCAAUUAAACUCCAGUCUGGUCAUGACAGUAGAAGUAGCAUCCCUGUAAUUCAUAAUACUGACACAUACUUCCUGUUGUGAUUAGGUUUUAAUUGUAUGUCUCAGUGAACUAAUGCUUUAUUUCUUGUGAAACAGGAACGAGUAUUGUGAUUGUUUUACUUGAGUGCUAUUAAUUGGGUAAGUUCAGGAACUUCUUUUCAUUAUUUGAAGCGAGAGUUUUUCCAUGGAAAUGCAGUCAAUAGAAAUGUGACCGAAAAUUUCAUGUGAUAUAUUAGAUUAUUGAAACCUAGGUGCUAUAGCCUAUGUCAGCAUUGUGAGUAUAUUUCUGAAAGAUAGUAUUUCCCUAAAGAGAUCUACUCAGAGGAGUACUUCUAAUUCUUUGUACACUUGUAUCAGAUCUCAGCAUUUUCUAAUUAUGAAUAUCUAAUAUUUUCAGGAAUCAGAUAGCACGCAUAGGGAACUUUGAAUAUGGGAAAAAGAUAAGACUGUAGUCUGACCAGUACAGGUGGAAGAACCUGUGGAAGUUGUGAAAAUGCAGUAGCCUACUUAGGGCUUCCUUGAAUUGCUGCUAACUAAUGUUCUGCUACGUGAAAGAAGUAAUUCAAGUGAAAGUGGAACAGUGGUGUUCUGAUUUCUAAAAGCCAGCUGAGAGAUAAUUUAAAUUGAAACGUACUGCUCUUGGUGGUAAAUCCUCCAAAAAAUGCUUGCAAUCUACACUUUAAGGGGUUGAGAAGAAAUAGCAAUAAGGUUUUGGUCCAUCCUGUGGUCUGUGUUCAUUUGUUUAAUCAAAUAGAAGGAUAGCAAGCUUCCUCUCUGUGAAGUAUGCAGUGUUGUACAGUGAAUUCUAUCUUUACUGCUUCGGUGUACAGUAUCUGUUAGCUAUACAGCAUAUUUGGUGUUUUGCAUUGCACUGCUAUCAUUAUUAGUAGAAAUAACAUAAAUAAAACCAUGAACUAAAAAGGAGAAGCGGAGUGUUGUUCUGCUAGCAUACCUACAUGUUUCUUUCUGUUGAAAUGGACUAGUUGUGCUCCCAAACCAGAGAAUUUUCUUCUUCUGUUUUAAAAUACAUACAUUCCUAAAGCAGACUUUUAAAAGAAAUAUCACAUUAGGAUCAAGGAAAUAAGUUUAUUUUGAAGCCUCUGUACUCUCCAUGGUGUUUACAGUAAUCCAGUGGUGGUUGUGUGCUUCAGAUUUGUACUUUUCUGGAUUCCUAUUCUGAGUGUAGGAUUGCUAUUCCAGGGUGUUGUGAACAAACCAGCCAUCUUUCAUUUGCUAAUUCACUACAUUAAAUGGCCACCAUCAGGUUUCAUUUGUGUGUUAUAUUGAAUAUGCAUGAUAUUUUAUUCUUCCUCUUUGCUGUACAUCUUGUUGCAUACAUUAGGAAUUAGUAAGGAAAUACAGACUAACCUUGCAAGUAAAAAAAAAAAAACCAAAAAACUGUUUUUUACAUCAUAGUUGUUAAAUUAGCAGUAUUUCAGAUUGUACAAAACCUCUCCCACUCAACACUUUAGUGUUUUUUUUUCCUUUUUAAAAGCUACUAGUAGAAGUCCAUUUUUGUGACCGCGUUGAUAAGUUGCCCCAGACAUUUUCAAAAUAUGGAUUUAAACACAUAACAAGAAAGUAAAAACAAAAAGCCAGGAAACUUCUAAGUUUGUGCACAGCAGGGAAGCCAGAAGCUCAAAAAUGUUAAAAAGGAUGGCUUAUCCCAAUGACCUUCAAAUGAUGUUUAGUAAUACCCCAAUUCAAAACAACAUGUAGACGUGUUUAAUUUGAAUUGCAUAUUUAAGUAAGACUUUGAAGGGUUUGAAGCAUAGGCAUAAUGCUUUAUCAGAAAAGAGACAGAAGUUUAACGUUUCUUGUAGUACAUUCUCAUGCUUCAGCAAGAAGAAUACCUAGCAACUGCUUCUCUUCUAUUAUGAAUGUAAGAGUGAGGGGGUUUCUCAUUAACUCUCUGGAGAAGGAAUUUAAGACCCAAUAAUAAAAAUAGUGGCAUGACUGAAGUUCUUCGUGUCUAAACAUCUGCAGGAUUGUAGCCUACUGUAACAGUCUGAAACAGCCUGAAAACCAUGUCUAUGAAAUCUCAGUAUGGUACUGUAUCAACACGUAUUUUUCAUACAGCGUUAAGGCAGUCAAGUUUGAAGAGUUUCUUUAUCAGCAGUAUUUCUGUCGCAUCUUGUCUGGGCUUUUUUCUGCUGGUGGGAUCCCAUUUGCCACAUUUCUGAGUGAAGCUAAGGAUUAUUUUCAUGUACGUUUUGUAUAGUACCUGUAUUCUGUUUUAAGGAAAAAUAUACACAUGCGUUUUUCUUCUUUCAGCUGUGCAGAAUGGCAUACAGAUGUACUAGCACAUUCCAGAGUAAGUUAAAUAGAGAACAAAGUAUUAUGUCACUGGAUGAGUAGAAGAGGAGCUGAUCUCUGACCACAAAAGAAAAAUAAAGCAUUGCUAAGAUCGUGGCUUUGAGAAAAAUAAGCCUGACUAUUUUAGUAUUUAGGUGGAUUAUGGAAGCAACAGUAAAAGAGAGAAAACUCUUAGCAAAGAAAAAUGUGGGAAUGGUUUAAGGGUAAACUGUGGCAUGAGAGAGCAAUAAUGAAGCAGGUUGAAAAAAAUUGAAAAUUAGUUUGGUACAUAAUGCAAAACAAACAAAAAUUAGUUUAUAGAAAUGUAACAUUAACGCAGUUGAUAUAUUCACUGAAAGAAAAGGGUUGGAAUGAACAGUGAUAAGCAUUAGUGUCUCUUAUUGGAGAAAGCUAGUAUUUCAAGGAGAUUUGCUGGCUUCUAUAUAUACAAAUACUAAGGACAUUUGGAAAAGAGUAACCUUUCAUCAAAAAAGCAGCAGAAUUAGCUGGAGAAAACAGAAAUCAGUAAUAAUAGAGUGAGAAUGAAUAAAUGAAUAGAUUGAUGAAUAGGCAGAGAACAUCACUUCUUUGGGAUGACCUAGAAUAACUUAUCCAGUGUCAUGUCACAUUCCUAAAAUGAUCACAAUGCAAGAAAACAAAAAUUGUUAUUUCAUCACGCUGUAUAUAUUUUUGCGUGCAAAUAAUGGUGUCUGUAUUGAAGUCUGAUUACCAUCCAUUUGUAAAGGUAUUAAUGAUACGCACGUACUAUCAAAAAAAUAUUAGUAUCACUGGCUGCAGAGACUAAGCUGCUGACUGCUACAUGUUAUGAAUAAUUUAGACUGGAUGUAUUGAUAUCUUUUCCUGAUUGAUUAGUCAAAGCACAGUUAACGUUUCAGUUGCCACUAGUCAUACAAAUUUUAAAGGACUGCAUGCAGUUCCAAUAUUAAGGAGUAAAGGUUAAAAAAUUUUAUCUGGUAAGUACUUUAAAAUUGUUUAACUGUGAAAGCGGAGGAGAUUUUUUUUGCUUGAAGCUUUCAAGGUUAGUAGCAACUAAAUGGAAUAGUCUCCGUAAUUUUAAGUCAUAGUGUUUCCCUGAGGGUAACGUCAACCCCUACAGAGUGCCAUUAAUGCCCCACUUACCUUUGAUCAAGGCUUUGAAAAUAUGUUUAAAGUGGGAUACUACCCAUGUACUGAAGCAAACUCCUUGCAAAUAGAACUCUUUGAAAGAACUGCAUUUUGUGUCUGUACGUUCAUUUCUCACUUUCUUCCCUCAUAAAGAUAACUGUAUGGGAACUGUUGAAUCACGGCCUGAACCUCUGAUUGACCACCUGAGGCAAGCGCUGAGUCAGCUGCAGGGGCACAGGUGAACACAACUUCACCUGAGUGACCGGAGGGGGUGGAGCCAGGCUCAUUUAAGACCCCAUUUAAGGGCUGACUCCCAAGGAAGAAGGAUCUCUACCUAGAGAUCCUUCAUCUUGGAGCCUUUCCCUGAGCCCAGGACAUGGGAAAGGUCUUUAUUUCAUUUCAACUUUGUAACACAAUAAUCUCUCUGGUCUAAUACUCAUAUGUCUGUUUGCCAUAGAGAUAACAGAAAUGUUUUACAACUUUUUUCUUCUUUUCUUUUUGAAACAGAGAAAUGACCUAGGGGGAGCCAAGUUACAAGAUGAACUCUAACCAAGUUAGAAGAGGAAAUAAGUGAAGAUUGGUCAUGUAUGCAAAGAAAAUGACAAGGUAUCUAAGGCAAUCACAAUUCAGAUUAAUUUCUUGCUGGUGUAGAGGUCUUCAUGGUACAUUAAUUCUGGCAAUAAACUUUAAAAAUAGUCCUUGGAAAAGAUGUUUUGAAAAGAACUUUUUUCUACUGUUUCAUUGCCAGAGUAAGUAUAUGUCUUUAUAAGUGUCUUGAAGAUACAUCUUUGAAGUCAUCAUUGUGUUGAAUUGUAGCUGUAUUUCUAGAAGUAAAUGAUGAUCACAUUCGUGAGCUGUGUUUUUGGCAGAAGUGAGUAAAAAAACACUGCUUCUCCCAACAUCAAAAUAAAAUCUUGCUAGACACUGUCAAUUUCCGAGGCUUUAAAGUAAUCAUUUCAUGAAUUCAUUUAAAUCACUGCACUUGAACGCUCAGUGCACAAGUUAAACCAUUUUCUCUUUUCUUUGUCAUGUAUAACCAUUACAAAUAAAUGUGCUAGUACUUGUUUUGCUCUGUAUUUAAAGGAUGUGUUCUCUUAAGUUUGUUGUUCUGCAGAUUUGUAACUUGAGGAAUGUAAAAUCAGUACUACUGACAACUCAUAUCCCUCAAAUACUCUCAAUAACGUGCAUUUGUAAUAUUUACACAGUGGCUGCUAACAGGCUGACACAAGGCUAUAUACCACUUAAGAUCUGAGGUUAAAUGGUUCUUCAGUGAUGCAUAAAAUUUGUAUUGAUCAUCUGCCCGGCACUGAAUUGAACCUAUUAAUGGAUAAGCCUUACAGUAUCACUAUGAGAAAGGGAAUUAUGAUCUCAAUUUAAAAAGUGGUAAAACAGAGCCCCAAGGGCUCAAGUAAUCAUUUCAAGUCGUACAGGAAGUAUAUAGCAGAGCUCUCAAUCUAAGCCAGCUCACCUGACCAACCAUCCUUGUGUUUGUUGUCCUUUUCAUCAUAUUCUGUCAGGUGUGGAAUGUGUAUGUCAACAGCUAUGCAUUCCUUAUGCACUGCUUUAACAGUCAAGUUCUCUUGCAAAGUAACUUAAAACACACAGGGAAUGUGAAUUGUGAAUCUCUCUUGUCCAUAAAGAACACGACACGAUGCAAAAGGGCCAGCAUAAACAACAUAAGUUGGAUUUUAAUAAGUUAAAAACAAAAUGUACAGGAAGACCUGUUGUUGUUAUGACCUCUCUAUUUUUUCUCUUUUUAAUUCUUUUCCCUUUUCUUUGCAUGGUGUUCUAGAUCUUUCUGUGGUACAGAGAGGAACUGCUUGUAUAGAACAAUUAAUGCUUUUGCUUUUGUAAUCUUGCUGAAUGUCUAUUUGAUUUCUUUAGCAAAUGUCAGGUCACAUGUUGGCUGAUUGCGUUCUGAAACUGAAGUAUAAAUCAUCUUCUCAAGUGACUAACUGUCAUUUUUCUUUGCAAAAUAUUUUUCUAUCUCUACCUUAUGUAACUCUUACAGUUGCUGACAUUUUCCUAAAAGCCCUGUUCAUUUGACACUCAAGAUUUCAGUAUAAAACUAUAGAUGAGAAUAGAUAACUCUUUUGCCUUCGCUUAGUACCUGUUUCCUUUACCAUUAGUUGAAGAAAGGAGUAUUAUGCAUUUCUGAGUCAUACUGUAUAAAGGUACUUUAUUUUAUACAUCAUUAGAAUUUUAAAAGAAGAAGGAAAAGCUGUACCAUAGGUGAAAGCAAGAGUUAACAUGCUUGAACUGUAGAAAAUGGCUAUUAAAUUUUGAUGGAUGCUAUCACUGAUAGAUCAAAUAAAUGUUGAUGUAGUGAUGUAGAGGGUAUGGAUAAAAAGAUGAGUGCUACAGAAAUGGUUGUUAGUAUUAAUGGAAAACAUAUAUAAUCCUCAGCCAAAGACAUGGAUCUACCCAGAAGAAAAGAACAGAGUAUGGACUUCUUAUAUGCCUUGAGUUCUGUCUAUAAGAGUGCAGCCCUAUAUAGCUGUGUCUUGUCACAGAUUAAGAUUGCAUAUACUUGGCCAUGCCUUAUGUUUUAUUGUGCCCGAUUCCUGCUGGCUUAGAGAUGAUAUUCUAGUAUUAAUAAUCUGCUUUACGUAUUUAUAUGUUGGUAGAAAGCUGUUAAUGAGUAUUCCUAACAGAUCUUUUUAAUCAAGCAUAAAAUGUAAGAAUUUCCUAGGAAAAAAUGGCUGCAUAACAUGGAAACAGUUGGUAUUAAAUUCCUGUUGGUGUGGCCUUUGACUCGCAGCUUCUGCUGAGUCCAGCUGAGAGAUAAAUGAGAUAAUUUUGCUGGUGUUUCAGGUCAGCACUUAUGCCAAUCUCACCAUCAUGGACAGUGAAUUCAAAUGUUUCUGAACAGCUCUGGAAAAACACAUUCAAGAAAAACUGUGUUCCAUCUGACAGAAUGCUACUUUUAAGCACUUAGGGUGAUCUGGAAUGCCAGGACUUUGGUCCUGAGAAUUGGUCCGCUAUUCCUAAAGCAUCCAAGCUCAAAUCUUUUAGUUAAAAGUCUCUAGAUUGUUUAAAAUUUAUGGGUAGAUGCAGGGAAUUUUAAGACUCCUGAAGGAGUCUGUAGGGGUAGGUUUAAAAUGUCCAUAUAAAUACAGUCUUAAUCUCUAAAAAAACAAUCUGAAUUGAUUGAGUACUGAUGUAAAUGUAAUGUAAAAGAGGAUUGCUGUGCUUAGAAAGGGAAGUCAGAUCUUUAUCUAAAUAUCUCUGCUUUAUAAUAAGAUACAGUAUGAUAACAUGCGCAGUGAACAGUUGAAAUCAGCACAGACACAUCUGAGAAGGGACACUUUAGUCACGUAAAGAAAGGUGUGAAAAGUACCUUCCUCGAAAGCCAGACUCCCUGCAGUUUAGAGCAGCCUAUUUUAUUGACAUGUGUGACAUCUGAUCAUGUUUUGGGGGUUUGUAGAAUUACUGUACCCUUCUUAUCAAAGGCAGAUGGGGACCCAAUCCUACAAGAAACAGAUUCCAUCUAUCCAUUUACAUACCAGUCUGACCUUACCACUGAAGAUUCUUAAAGCUAGUUCAUGGACAUCAUAAAUUUGUACUCCUCAGUUCAUAAAGGUAGGGACAUAAUAUUUUACAGGUGUGGAAGUGAAACAUAGAUGUGAAUAUUUUAAGACAUAUAGCCUUGACAAUGAUACUUAAAAUCAUUCAUCAUGGAUGAGCUCAGGGAAAUAAGCAGGAUUGUAGUUUGUUUGCCUUUGAAAGUCUGACUAGUUACUAUAGCACCUGAAGAAACCAAGUGAACUGAACUUAUUUUUCUGAGAAUACUUGUACAAGAGGACAAAGAAAAUCUUGAAAAUCUGUUGUACGCUCGUGAAAUGAAUCCAACUCUCUGAAAUUUCUGAAUAUCUGAAGAACUUUUCUGUGUUCCACCUUACUCUUCUCUGAUUUGAAAACAUCUUUUUUGAGUUCUUGGAAAACUGUGCAUUUCUACUGUGUGCUGUUCUCAUUAAAUCUAUCUUUCUCUUGCUACAAGCUCUGAUGGAGGGGGACUUCCAACAGUACUCUCUCAUAGGUCCCCCACUGUAUAUUAGACAACACUGGGUCAUGAACACUAAAGUCUCCAAAGGCCUACUGGAUGAUCCCCUUUUAAGAUCUCUGGUGGUACAAGUUGUCCCAGAUUAGAAGCUAUUUGCAGGCUUCGGGAAUGUGUAAGAGUAAGUCUCCCCAGUUACAUAUCUCAGGAGAUCUGCAAAGAAAAAGAGGAUGAUUAAAGUUUAUGGCUUGCAAAAGAAGGAAAUCAAGGGGAUUAUUUCUCGGUGUUCUUUUUAUGAGAUUUUUUUUUUUAAAGGAAAAAUAUUUUGACUGACAGGCCUUUGAACAUGCUGUGAGUUCUGUAUUUGCAGUAAGGCCUGGAGGAACAAGCUUUUAUUUUCUACUAGAAGACUGCAGUCUUUAGCACUCUCAGUAUUAAGAUCAUUGCAGGCAGGCAUCCCUACUGAUAUUACUAAAAGGAACUUUAAUCAAUCUUGAAAAAAGACUUCAAUAACCUGAAUUAUGGCCACUAGUGCUAGACCUUUGAUAGGAGAAUGGGUCUAGCAGUAUUGAUUUUCUCACUCUUAGCAUUUCUUCUGAUAUUUUUGCCACCUACUAGUAAUGUGUAUUUUAAUAAAACUUUAUGAACUGCCUUUUCCCAGCAAUCUUUCUGUUUUUAAGUGGAAAAUUUUUUACAUCAUUUGCAUGCUUUUUUUUCAUUUUGAAACAAAUACAAUUUUUGUGGAAGACUGCGGAUUCCAAAACCAAUCUAAAAAUAGCAACUUCCCUCUCUAAUUAUGACACAGCCCUUUGUCAGUACUACCAGAUGGGGAAGAUGAGCCAGAAAAUAGUAUGAAUAGUCACCAGUUGUCUUCUUUCAUUUCUCUUUUUCUGUGAGAAAGCAAGAUCUUUUGCAUUUUCUUGACAUUUUAAGUGCUAGACUUUAUGUUUAGAAAAACUUAGAGCUGGUUUUGACAAAACAGCCUCGAGAGGUUUAGAGAAUUCAGAGCCUUCCAGGGACAUCAGCAGAAUUGAGAGAACUGAUAGAAAGGACCUAUGGGCUAGGAAAUCUGAUGGGGUGCACACAAGAGUGGUUUACUAUUUACAUGUAAAGAAAAAUAGGGAAAAAAAAAAAGCUGAAACUACUAAUCUUGAUAAUAUUUUUCUAGAUUACAGCAAAGCUCAUAGGUGUUAUCUUGCAUAUGGCCUGUGGCCUUUUGACCUUCUGAAAGAUGGCCUUGUGGUUUCAUAGGUUAGCUCUCCAUGAUUAAGUUGUUACUGAGGAGACCGCUAACACUUCUCCACAGCACUGUUGCUGUACCUUUAUAAAGACUGCUAAAUGAUGUGGUACGUACCACAGAGACCACUGUCCAGAGGAAAGUGCUGUCAGAGAGUGAGAGAGGGUUAACCACAAAAUAUUUACAAUUUUAGCGUGCACUGAAAAAAAAUAUAUAGCUGAAAACAGUAUUUUCCUUUUGCUCUCUUUGUGCAUUGUGGUUUUAGAUUGGCUGCAAAAAUGUUUCUGUAUAGUGUGGAUUGUCUACAGCAGAUGGCAAACAAUGAUUAACCAUUUCCUUCCAACUGCUCUUUAAUGGGCAGAAACCAAGGUGAACCAGUUACUCGUAUUAAAAUAAGCUGAAAAAAAUCAUGUAGUUAUGAGUGUAAAUGUUCUCAUCUAAUAUAAACUUUCCAAGAAUAGUGCAGUUGGGGCUGGAUGUCUUCUUUCAAGCUUAUUUCCAGUGGCAGAGGAUGUAAAGAACUAAAUGAUAGUAAAGUAUAAUUAUAGUUUUUAAUUUACUUUUAAAUUAUUCCAUUUUUAAGUGAAAUACUGAUUUACACAAGUGCUGGACCUCUGAACUACUUGGAUUUGCUACUGUAUCUUAACCAAAAGUAAGUUUCUUGUAUGCUGCUGAUGAGACUUAAUAUGUUUUCAUAAAAUAAAGCUUCUGUAAGAUUAGAGUGGAAGUACUGCUCUAGCAUUAAGAGCUAGGGUAAUAGGAUGCACAUCUGCUAUAUAUUCACAUUUCUAAGCUGUUCUACUUUUCGUACAUUAAGGCCAAAGGAGGCUUAGGAUAGAUGCUUGCUUUCUUUUAAUUUGAAAGCACAAAAAAAACCCCAAUACCUUCUUAAUAUUGUUAAUUUAAGAAGUAGUGUCAUCAGUGAGAUGAUAGUGAUACAGGCUGGGAGCCAGCUGUGUAGGAAUCAGUUCAGUAGAAACAGUGCUGGUAGUCCUGAUACUCAAGGUGAAUAUCAGGUAGCCAUAUGCCCUUCCAGCAGAACCAGCUUGCAUUCAGUGUUGCAUUGGCAAGACUAAAGGCAGCAGCUCUAGAGAAGGGGCCCUCUCCUUUUAGCACUUGUGAGACUCUAUUUGGAGUUCUGUGCCCAGUUCUAAGGUACAAGGUGGCAACCACCUUGCUAGCACAAGUCCAGUGGAAGGCGCCAGUACGUGGCUGGAGUACAUGGUGAACAAGGAGAGACUGAAAGAGCUGGGUCUGUACAGCUGGAGAAAGAAAGGCAGAAGAGCAACCCUACUGCUAUCUACAGCUACCUUAUUGAUGUUAGGGUAAAGAAAAGAUGGAGCCAGGCUCUUCUCGAAGGUGCCACAGAAACAGAAUGAGGGCAAACAGACACAAGCUGGAAAAUGAAAAGUUCCAGUCAGAUAUAAGGAAAAGCAUUUUACCAAAGUGUGUUGAAACACUGCAACAAAUGUCCACAUUGACUAUGAUAUCUCCAUCCCUAGAAGUAUCCAAGAUUCAUCUGGGUAUAGACGUUAGCAACUUGAUCUCAUUAGACCUGCUUUGAGGAGGAUUAGGUAUUUCCAGAGGCCUUCCGAGCUCCAUUAUUCUAUGGUUAUUAGAUUCUGUGAUAAGUAGGACCAGUUUUUUUUUCUACAUGACUCUCUCUGAAGUGAACUCAUAGCUUCAUUGAAAUCAAAUAACAAGAUUCUUAUUGACUUCGUGAUACUCUUUUGUGUGAUUUGGAGGGUUCUUUGAAAUCAAAUAAUACUUUUCAUGUUAGGAGAACUUCAGAGAAAAGCUUUUGUUUUUUUUCUGAAAGUUUAUUUCACAACCAACAGAUUCCUUUAGCAUAUAUGGAUAAAGUUAUCUGUAUAGAAGAUAAAGAUUUUUUGCUCUAAAGGAGCAAAAAAAAACCUGGUAUUUUUCUCUCAAAUUUGUACCUGUAUUCCUGUAAGCUCAAGUAUUUAAUUGACUGGCUUAAAAGUGGAGGGGAAAUUGGUGAUAGAAGAAGAGUGUCGUUCUCAUGAUCCCGAAAAUAGAAAGUAUUUCAAACCCUUGAAAUCUGUUGUCCAGCUUUGACAUUAACAAAGUAAAUCAUACAAAGAAAUAUUAUAUAAAAAGCCCAAAUCCUACUGUGAGCUUAAUUACAUUUACAUGUUUACAUUUUACAACUUCCUGUGACAAAGCGAAUAAAAUGCCGUAUGAACAGAUAGUGUAGUAUUGAAGCAAAUGUUCAUUUACUGUAUUUCUGAAGAGGGCAAAGAGUUAUUAAUGUUGCUUAGAUUGGCUUUUUUUAACUGCCACUUGUAAGUAGAGUGUAUAUAGCCUUUUUGUGCUAUGUUCAUAUGAUGAAAACAUCAAGGGCGUGUUUUCUCCUCUUACCCAACUCACUUAUUCUACUUUGUAAUUUUCCAUAUGCUGUUGACUACAGUAUUUUUAAUUGAGUGUGGUGCAUACAUGCAUGGAUAGUGAUAAAUCACACUGCAGACUAUGUGGCCCAUAAAAAUUUUAUGCAGCUAUGAGAAAAAGUUACUGUCAUUACAGGACCAUUUGGGAAACCAGAGUACUUGUUUCAGCAGUCUGGGUUUGAUCUUUUAAUGCUAUCAGUGUUUUGGAUGAGUGCAGAUGCAUACAUGAUGAAUUUAGAAUGUUCCAGGAAUACUAGAAAACGUCUAAAUACCUCCAGUGUUGAGGUUAAAUUCUCAGUUUGGAAAUUCUUCUACCCAAAUCUUCAUAGCAUACCUUUCCAUAAGAAGAGUCUGGAUCUAAGAAACAUCUAUCGCUAUGUUAAUUCUUAUGCACAAAGUUCCAAUGUUCACCAUUUGUUGUGAUUUCAUAGCAAUAUUAAUAAAGUAUUGUUGUUUCUUAUCCCCCAACUCUUCAGAACUUGUUUUCUUUGCAGCAUUUUCCUUGUAGUCAGGAGGGAAUUUCACAUGCUUUUAGAAAAUCUGACAAAAUACAAAAUUCAUUAGCUGGAACACAAAAAAACGAGUGGCCUAAGAGCUGUGAUUCUGAGAACUGGAAAUAUUGAUUUUGUGAUUCAGGAAGAUUUUAUUUAAUGGGGCAUUUAAACGUUUGUAUGUGAAUCUGUUCCAUGACAUACACUGCAGUUAGCAACAGCUUUUGUGUAUCAUGUCUAAUAUACCCAUACACUUCUGACAGUAUGUAUAUUCAUGAGAUUCAUAACAUUUUCCUGCAUUUGUCCUCAUAACAGAUUUCAUUUCAAAGCAGCACUUCAUUGAUGUAGAACACUGACGCAUUGUACAUAUAAUUGUUUCUCAUCAGUAUGAUUAUUUUGUGACACCUAGUGGAUAUAUUAAUAGUUGUGCCAGUUCAAAUUUCCUUGGGUUGUUUGGGUUGUCUGAAUAUACAUUCUGGCCUGCAAACUGAAUUCACAUCUUAAACACAUCGAAUCUCGGUCUUUCUUUCUUACUUUCUCUAUUUUUCCUUUUUUUUUUUUUUUUAAUUUUUAUUUGACUUUGAUCCUGGAAUGGUUUGGUUGUAAUCAGCUGAACAAAUACUCAGCACCCAAGAGUCCUGAGGAAAUCCCAUUAGUCCUAAAACAAUACAAGGUAGUAAAAAUUUGGAAAUGUCAUGAUACUGUUAAGUCAGAGUCCCUACAUGUGCAGUGUGUGAUCUUCACCCAUCAGCUUUUUCUACUGCAUCAAUUUUUCUGUAUAGUAGAUCAAGUAUGAAGUUCCCUUUGGAGUUGAGCAUGCGUUACAUAAAAUUGUGAAAGGUUACAAAGAAGUACUCAGACUUUUCGCCCUAUGGGGGCUGUAACAAAUCCAAUUCCUUUACUGUUCAUAGAGAAUGAAAUGUGAUAAAUAAUUAAAAUAUUUUUCUAUAAACAUGAGAAUGUAUUUAGAAAAUUUAUAUCAAUAAAUGUAGUCUAGAAAUGCUUUAAACGCAUGACCCACUUUCGUGACUAAGAUAUAUCAUAUGAAGUAUAUCUUAAUUUACAUUCUGAGCCUGAAGCUUAUUUUGAAGUCAUUUGUCCUACAGGCAGAGUUGAAUUACUGUCUUGUGUAUAUACUGCAAAUGCUGGGAAAUAGGAAAGUCAGUAUUUUCAUAUGCCUGGUUUUUAUGUUCAUAAAGGGAGAGGAAGUAUGUUUUUUUGGACAGUGGCCUCAAGUCGGUUUGCUCUGUUGGUGAGUUGAUGCUGUUGGUGUGCACGUUUAUAACUUCAUAGAUGGUAUUCUUUACCCAGUAGGUCUUAAAUUCUAGCAUACCAGAGAAGAUGCAGGGCAAUAGCUCAUAUGAUAGCUAGGGUAUGAUUUUAGUAGUUCCUAACAAGGAUCUGAAAGGAGCUGUAAAGUGCAUUUAUUUAUAAAUAAGAGAUUGUGUAUUUUUUGUACUUGGGGAAUUUGAAUUGAGUUGUCCGGAAGACAUAAAUUAUCUUUGAAGACCAUCUUCAAAAUUUUAUGUUUUACCUUGUCUCUCUUCAGGGAGAAUUUCUUAUUUCCACUCCCAAAAGGCUUCAGAAUCAGAAAACGCAGUACUGAACUGUGUCUUUAAUACCAACUGAUAUGGCAUUCUUUUCCUGUACUCUUCAGAGUUGCUUAUCAUAACAUUUCUCUUGUGACUUUGGUUUAUGUAAAAUUAGAGCCUGUAGCAACAACAUCAUGAAUAAUGGACACAAAGUUUCUAACACAUCAUUGAACGCUGGCAAAGAUCUGCUUACUCUCUACCACCUGAAGCCAUGGUUCGAGUUCAUUAAUGAAUGUUUAACUAGUGAAAGCUUUAGUCUCAAGUAAAAAGACUUAGACUGGAGUAAAUCUAUUGAGAGCCUCAGUCACCUGAGAAAACAAAAGGUUGUGCGGAGGGAGCUGAAAGCAGGCAGUGCUGUGUGUCUGGCCACCCGAGCUCCUUGCCUGCAAUUCAUGAAGGGUGUUCAUUGUGCAAACGUGUGCCGUAUCAGUGUCACUGCCCCAGUCACCCCAAGGCACUCCAGAUGCCAUGCUCAGCUCCCUUGGCACGCACGUCUACAGCAGCUGCCCCCCUUGCACUUGACAUCAGCUUGCUAUGUUUGAAGUAUCCCUGCAGGUCAUGAUGCUAAGGGCCAGCACAGUCUGGGAUGCCUGGUUUGCAGACUCCACAGGAUUGCUGCCACAUACAAGUUAGGGUGCAACAGCCCUGGCAAUGAUCAGCAACUUUUGGUGGUUUCCCCCCUCUCUUUUUUAAGGCUUGUGUUAUGUGAACUUAUCUAGGUCUUGGACUGGGCUUUGUGUUGGAUGGCUAACGAGACCAGUAAUUUCGUUAACUUGCGCAGUGAGUGUAUGUAUAAGCCUUCUUUCCAUUGGCAGUAACAAUAACCAAUAACAGUAACGAAUCAGAGCAGAGACAAAAGAGUUGUGGCAAAACCACCUGUGUUUCUUUUUUGAAUCAUACCACAAUUUGAGACAAUGUUGGAGAAUAACAAAGCUAUUACUGUACAUAGAGGUCAUCUGCUGGUAGCCAAAGAAAAACACUAAUUGAAAGAUAAAAGGCAUCUUAAUCAUUAGCAGCAUUGUUACCAGUAAAUUCAUUGAGGUUGCCAGGAGUCGUAGAUGUGAGACGUAAGGCCCAGUUCAGGCUCCAAAAGGAAGGCUAAGGGAGGGGACAAAAGACAGAACAUGAGCCAGACACAGCUGUGUCAGAAGCUAUCACAUCUCCAGAAGUUGAGGCGUGCAUGCAGCCUUCAGCUGUGUGAGUGGGCAGGCUCAGCAGAGGCCUUUGCUUCCAUGUCCCUUAACAGGUGGAGUUCUCUCAUUGUCACCUGAUACGCCAUGGAAAGAUGAAGCCUCAUCGCUCUCUGUGCUUAGUAUCCCCUUCCAGUGUAUUUCGGCACUGAUGUCCCCACAGAAGUCUCCCAUGGGUGAAGGUGGUACGUUAAUGCAGCAUGCUUCACUGGUGGGAGCUUCUUGCUGCAGCCUCACAGUGUUAGUUUGGUCCCUUGUUGAAACAGUAGUAGUCCUUACACAGACUGUGCUGGCUUUGAAUUUAGAACUAUUUAGGAUUCUAAACAAUGAUGCGGAUUGAUUGCAGUCUGGCACAGUCAGUGUAAAUACUUCUGCUUUUGCAAGUGAACUUUUUGUUCAGGUGUGUAGCCUCCAGAAAGAAAAAUACAAGUAACCAGAAAUAACCAGCCCAGUGCAGUUACGGUUUGCAAGGACUGCACAAGGAUUUUCUCUGUCUUAAUGUAUGUAGAUUUCCAGGCUUCUGCUUCUUCACCAUCAGGAUGAACCAAGCUUAGCAGCUCAAGCCAAAUACAGCCCGAACCUCAGAACGUUGUUCUGAGGUGGAAUUUAUUUUUUUAAAGUGCUUGGCAGCAUUACUCAAAAUAACUGUUUGUGUUAUGGCCAAGAAUAUAGCAAGGUGGGUUGGAAGAUACUGGUCCUGGUUGUUCCUGCAGUUGGACUUGCUAUUUCCACGGGGAUCUGAGAAAGGUGUGAUUUUUGAAGAGCUGGGCAUCACUUACAAGUAAAAGAUAGGGUGUGUAGUUUAGGUGUUAUAUUUUAUGUUCAAAGAUAUUAAGCAAAUCCGAGUGACUUAAGCUGAGGAGACAGUUCUUCCAAAAAAAAAGAAAAUCCAAUAAUCAACAACCUAUAAUAAAAAUACUGUGGGGGAAGGGAGUCAUUGGUAUUUUGUUUUUCUAUCAUCUGUGUGCAUGUAGUCUGAGAUAGUGCAUGGAGAUGAAUUACGAAUGUUUAGGAAAUGCUUGCUGUUAAGGGAGGAGUUAUAUACACAUUUUGUUCUUUGCUAUCUCUGACAAGAGAAAAUAACACUGACACAUUUUCUUAGCUCUUAACAAGAAACAAUCCCUAAUUUGUCACAGCUUCACCUCCUCUUCCUGCAGAGACUCAUCUCCCUGAUAUCCAGCCCUUGCUUUUUUACCUUCAUGCUUGGUGAAAUGUGAAGAGUACCUGUAACAUUUGUUUUUCGUAAGACAUAUCUCACUUACUCCUGGUGGAUUUGCCCUUCCUACACAGGUUUUGUCUCCCGUGGAUGCUGGCUUCACCCCAUUUUUCCCAUUGGGAUCUGCCAAACUUCAUUUCUGCCCUUGAGAGCUAGGACGCACAGCCCAGGGUGAGAUGCUGCUGCUGCUCCCACAGCUGUCCGUGUCAAGCCUGGCAGCCAUCUUAGGCUGGACAGAAAGCCCACCAGGGCCAGCACAGCAAAUCAGCUGGUUAGGGGUACCCCCUGGGCUGAGGUAUGAUGGGAUAAUAACAACGGAAAGAGAAAGCUGGUGCUGUGAAUGGCCCUCUGAGAAAAUGUACGGAGAAGCUUCUGUCUGCUUUUUCACUUGCUGUCACUCACCUUACAACUGUUUCAGUGUGCACUAAAAUGAAGUUGAAACAUGCGUGUUUUCUCUUUUGGCAUCCCCAUAGUGAUUAUGCUAUGAGCAGUGGAAGAUCCCAUCGGUUGCUCUGAAAUGUGACCUACCUACUUUGAGCUCCUUGAACUCUGCCAAAUAUGUGCAGCUGGAAGAAAAGAAGUGGUUUGACUGUCCGCGAGCCAAAACACAUGGUGGUUAGUUUGUGCGGGUGAUGCCAAGUGGAGCUCACACCUUUUCCAUCUCAAGUGGAUUUUGGCUGUCUCUGACAGCUCUAACCAAUGGCUGGGGAGGAAUCUGCAGUCAGCUGGGCUGAGAGGCUUUGCCAUUAACAGGUUAACCAUAUCCUGCAUUUUCUGUACUUUUGAUGCUGAAGGAAAAUAAUUUAUGAUAGGCUUUCAUAGAGAAGUGGAGCAAAAGCUGUGCCUGACUUCCUCAAUAUGAUGGUGUGGCAAGAAAACUAAUGCUGAGAGACAUCCAGCAGUCCAAAUGUGCACCUGCUCCUGCUAGCUUCCAGAGCAAAUGCUGUCUCCAGUUCUCUGAUAUAUUGCACUGCAAGCUCUUCCUAAAGCACGGGAAGUCAGACCAGAUCAGGCCUUGGAUGCUCCUUGGAAAUUUCACUGGCCGAUCGUCCACAUCUGAAGUACCUUAUCUUUGGAGAUCUGGACUCUAAUGGGGCAUAAGACAGGAAUCAGAACUGAUGGCCAACAAGAAACUGUUCUACCACAUACAAUGCCUCAAUGUGUUGCCCUAGAAAGCUGAGGCUCAGGUCUUCUCCUGAGGUACAUGGUAUCCUCCAGAAUGGUAUUGAAGGAAUGGUGAGUGAUGUAAUAUUUGAGGAAGGGGAGAUGUGUGUCCUUCUGGAAUCCUCUUGUUCUCCACCUCUGUGUUUUCCAACCAAUUACUUAAUUCCUCAUACUGUGUCCUCACAGUAUGUGCUACAAAUGGUGACAUCAAAACCAAUAUAUAUUGCAAAUGCUAACAUUGCAGCAGGCUUUGCAGAAUAAUGGCUAUAUCAAUCCUUACUUAUAGUGUACUUUGAAUAUAGUGUCAUUAGUAACAGAACAUCUGCCAAAACCUCUCACAGUCUGAACAUGCUACCUCCUAUUUUUUUCAAUAUUAUGAUUGUAUUUCAUCAGAAGAUCCUAUGUAUUUGCUAAGUGGAGUUUCACUCAGUUCAGUCUUUGAUUGUUCAUGACGUGGAGAAGGUGAACAGGAAACAACUGUGUCCUGCCUCAUGUAGCAAGAGACCUAGGGAAUAGCAGGUUCAAAAUGCUCAAAAAGAGAUUUUUCUUCACAAGCUCUUAUGAUUAAGUGGUGGAGAUACUCCUUUCUGUUGAGUACACCAUGGUCCUCCCUGGCAAGGUCAACAGCAGCAGCUUAAAGAGCAGUGUGAGAGAGAGAUGUAUGUAAAUGGCUGCAGCAGGUGUAGCACUCCUGUCUCAGCUCAGGAUGGCUCCUCCAAGGGUUAGAGGCUAAUUUUGAGAAGAGGCUUGUUCAUUUUAAUAUGAAAGUUGUGAAAGGCUUUUUUCAUGGUAGGAGCUCUAUCUCAAAAGAGCUUCUUCAGGAAACUCUACGGCACUUGUGUUUGUUUAGGUGCUUUUCCUUUUGAUAUGGUUGUUUUGCAGUGGUGACUUGGCUGGAAAAGAGGGUUUUUGGAGGUGAACGUGGUGAGGAUAAAUCUCAAAGCUACCGCAAUUUGGGAGGCAUCCCUACUUUGUUUAGGAAAUAGACUUGCAACUAAAGGCCAUCUCGAGUUGACAGCAGACUUUGCGAGGGGUGAAAGUCCCUUGUACAGUGUGCUUCUGUACCUGUAAAAAAUCGGGUGCUUGAUUUACACAAGAGUCAUGAAGAUGUUCCUCUGGUUCUGUACUUUCCAUCAGGAGCCUCUUGUCCUUGCACUUGGUUUGUGCAGUCUAUUACAACAAUUCCAGUGGGACACAUAAUUCAGAUUCUGUAAUAGAAUGAAUGCACAAAGUCAUUGCUUAAACUGUACUGCAGCAGCACUUCUUGCUGCUGCUAUGUACAUUUAAUAACAAAAGGUCAAAAUACUGCAUCAACAUAGAAAGAGUCAUUUGAUCUCUUUAUCUGUAGAACAGGGAUAAUAUUCUUUGCUUAUGUUCCAAGACUUGCUGCAAAUUUGAGGACAGAAAAACUGAAGAUUUUCUUUAGUAUUGCUAAGAUAGAUUGUGAUGACUGUCAGAUACUGGUUAAACUGGAGGGGCUGAGCUUUUUAUUCCUGCUUUUGCUGUAUACCUGACAGUUGGAGGUGAAUGCAGCCUUUUGUUUCCUACACAACAAAAGGUUCAAAUAUAAACCAUGCUACUGAUAAAAUAAGAACAGAAAUUGCGGGUCAGUUCUAAACUUGGAAAAUGCUCAGGGGUUUUUUUGUUUUUUUGCUGGUAAAUCUACAUUCUCAUCAUGUGGAAAAAACCCAGACUCUUAAUACAGCUUUAGUUUUCUACUUUAUAGCUACAAGCAGAAAACAGCCAUGAAUCAAUAACGGGGGCCUGUAAACACUCUUCUGGCUCUAUAGCCUACUUAAUGUCAACCAAGAGCUGCAGUAAACCACAAUUCCCCAGCUGCAAUAAAUGCUACAGGCUCCAGAGCAGAGCACAAAGUUUAAUUAAAAGUAAUCUGAUACAUAUAAAUCCGCUGACGCAAUCUCUCACUCUUGCAUCUGAAAUAUAUAUAAGGCUCUUCCUGGAGACAUUGGAUGAUUUAGACUUCAAUUUCACUUAAGAAGCCUCUCACAUAAUACUAUCCAGUGAGUCUCUGUGCACACAGCAUAAAGACAUCCUGUUAACUAAAUGCAUUGAUCUCCCUUUGCUUUACAUGCCGAGUGUAUCAGCUGUUGAGUUAUUUGGCUAAUUUAAGAGACUUGGCAACAUUUUCCCGUGCUCUAAAUAGCCAGACAUCUCUGAACUUUCAGGAGUAACUACAUUUGGCAAUUAAUGGAUAAUGACAACACUGCUGUAAUGUAUUAUCUUUUGGCAAUAAGUAAGCUCAGCAGUUUUGAGGAUGUCUCACUAAUGCUUUAGCAUCAGACAGACUCUGCUCAUGUUAGCUGUGUUUGACAAGAUGUUCUGUUGAUGUUUAAUGAUACACAGCCCCUUGCUGAUUUGCGUCCUGAGUCUGUCCUGGCUCUGCACACAUCGUCCUUCUCUCCUCCCCGUGCACUGUGGCUGCCUUAUGGAAUCACAGUAAAGUCUGGGUCAGACAGCCUCUCUGGAGAUCACCCGGUCCAAACCACAGAAACAGAGACUUAGGUUAGGUCAUCCUGGAUACUGUCCAGCAAAGUCUAGGAUAUUUCCAGUGAGAAAAGUGCACACCUUUGUUAUCUGAGGAUGCAAAAGCGUUCGCACCUCAUGCUAUAGUCCUGGCACUGAUGGUGUCUCUGGACUAACAGUAUAUUCAUGCUAAUUUUUCUGAAACUAGAAAAGGCAGAGGAUGACAACUGCUAUGGGACCUGGGAACAACACUUAAGGCUUAGAUGGCUUUCCUUUCUCAACACUUUUUCCUCAGAAAAUAAAAGCAUCUAAAAAUAAAUAUUUGUUUUUAAAAUAAAUAAAUAUAUAUAUCUGAAGACACUAAUGAGUCCUGUCAUAAAGUGUAUUAAAGCAGUAUUCUAAAGGCAAAACAGCUUCUCACACAAAAUGACAUACACGUUUCUAAUUAGCUCCCAGAAAAUUGGGGUUCACUCAUGCGAGGGACCAAAUAACAUUACUUUGUAACUCUGAACAAAAAUUAAUCUCUUCCUCUCAUUUUUGUCCGUAGUGCUUUUUGUGGAUUUGUAUCCAUACAGAGUUUUCGCUGGCAUGCCAUCCGUUCGUGCAUUUCUAAACAAAAGCGAGACAUGGAGUCUUCAUGGCCAAAACUUUUCUUGCAUUCUUGCAUCUGUGGCCAAAAUGUAGCUAACUGGAUCCAUAGAGAUAGAUCUUGUAUUCAUGAUUGUUGUGAGAAACCUCCCAGAGCUUAUUGAAUUAGGGAUAUCCCAGUCAGCUAUUGUUAGACUUUAAGAGACGUUUUGCAGUUAGAGGAGGCUUUAAAUAAUAAUAAUAAUAAAAACAGAGUUUCUUUUUAUUAACUGAAGCUCUGUUUACAUCAGUAAGGAUACACAAAUCAAAGCAACGAAAUGUAUGGCCUGCAGUUAAAGGAUUUAGCUUCAAGAAAAGAAAAUGAAACAAACCAGAACAACAACAACAAACAUUGAACAGCAAUUAUUUAUCAAGAUAUAGGCCUUAAACCAAAUUUUGCUUUUUUCAUUGCAUUCAUGGCAGUUGUCUUGUUAUGAGUAGAGUGACGUGGAAGGUAAAGCCAAGGGAAAUGAGUUCAAACUGCAUCAUAAAGAAGUUCAAAUAUUCAAGGAACAGUAAUAUGUUUAAAACACACACACACAAAAGAGAAAGAAACCUGGGGGGAAAAAUUUCUACUUGCUUCUUCUUACAUUUUUUGCUUUUUGGAUUGAUCGAUAGAGUAAAUGUGGUAAAGGCACAAUGAUCUUUUACACAUUUAUUUCAAGUCUGUUGUUGUAACUAACUAGGAGUUCCUGAAGAGUAGAAUGAAGCCUGGAUAUACACUAAUGGAUUGGUAUUUGUAAUUCAUACCCUGAAAUGUAUCCAGCCUGGUGCUAAAACCAAACGUUUAGUAGGCUAAAAGUAAUACAAGCCAAGGUACAUUUGACAGCCAAUAAGAUGACGUUUGUCCAUUUUCUCCUAAAGGAGAGGAAAAUUGUGAACAUGGAAAAUAGAAGCAGGAGGAAGGAAGGACGUAGAGAGUGACUCAACAGGUCAUGAAAAUGUGAGGUUGCAUAUAUGCAACAUGAUCAAGUUGGAAAAAUAAUCUGUUGAGCCAGAAGGACAGCAAGAUGAACUAGUAGUGGAAGAAGUCUGCUAAGUCAGGAGGUAGAAAUCUGAUGCUGGAGGGAGUCUGAAGAUGAGUCUGAUCAAUCCAGUCUGAGUUUCUCAAAAUGUAAAUUAUUCCUGGCCAACAGGACACACUGAGGUGUCCCUGCUCCCUGCCUAUAACAGGGGGUUGGCACUAGGUCAUCUUAAAAGUCCCUUCCAACCCAAACCAUUCUAUGAUUCUAUGAUUCUGUGAACUGUAUGUACUGGCUUAAAAUAAUUCCACGUGAAACAGCCUCAAGACUGAAAAUUUGCCUAGAGCAGCAUUUGAACUCUCAAAUGUGUGAGGUUCAGCAAGCCAAGUGAGAGCCAGAAGGAUCUCCUGCAGUUCAAUAUUCAACAGAUGUUAAAGCUUUUGUGUUCCCCAUGUGCAAGGAGUCAUGGAAAAAAGAGUCAAGGGAGAAGAAAUUUUAGAAGCAUCGUUCCUGACUUGCAGGUGUAAAUGUCCACUGAACAUUGAAGUAAAUAGGGAAGAAAUGGCAAAGAGAGGAAUAAGAAAGAAACAUGGAAGCUGAAAAUGAUAGCGUUUCAGUACUGUUAAAGCUGUCAGUGUGUAUAUGAAGAUGAUAAAGAAAAGAAAUGUAAUACUGGUUUAAUAUAACACAUCAUAUUGAAAUAAAGAGAAUCCGAAGAGAGGCUGGCGGAAGGUCUGACAAGGUCAUAAGAGAGCUCUGAGGCAUCACAUGGGCAGAGACAUCAAAAACAUAAACUGGGGGCUUCACCUCCCAAACUCUGGGAAACCGUGUUUGUUUGCUAGUCUUAGAGCUGAGAUUCUGGGAUGUACACGCAAGGCUCCCUAGCAAAGACAGAAAGUGAGACACCUGAAAUUCUCUGAAAUUUUAAUGAAGCAAAUCAGUAGGAGUAACAGAAAUGAGAAAGAAAAGCACUGAUGCUCUAGUGCUCAUGACUUACAAACCCCCAAAAUGAACAUCUCAACGUCUUCCUUCCUUGCUUCAUAUAAAUUUUACGUAUUUUCCAAGUACAACAGUGCCUUCCUACAGAAUUUCUCAACUCUACUGCAAGUGUUACUGACGAAACAUAAAGCUGCUCUUUGAAAGAAGAAUUACUUUCCCUUUUGGCACUUUUGAAUAACUUCUCUUUCAACUUGGUGUUCUUUCCCCCCCAAGAUCUGGGUUACAGAGCUGCUUACUU
ensembl:lncRNA